AAAAUGGAUAAAAGAUGAAAAGGACCAAGGGAUUACUAAUUAGUCUACAACCCAAAAUAAAACAUAUAAGAGAAAACAAAAGAGCUCUCUUCUUCUUUAUCCUCAAAACUUAACCAAGAGGUCUGUCUAAUCAAAUUAACAAUAAAAAACAAACAUUAAACAUUUUAGAGCUCAUCGUGAGACUCAUCCUCCUCCUCGGUCGCUCCUUCUCCACCUGCACCACCUGGUGCACCACCUGACCUCUGAUAAACGGCCGUGAUGAUUGGGUUACACACUGCCUCUACUUCCUUCAACUUCUCGUCAUACUCUUCCUUCUCUGAGUUUUGGUUCUCGUCAAGCCACUCCAAUGCUUCUUUGGUCGCUGCUUCAAUCUUCUCCUUCUCGUCACCCUCAAGUUUGUCCGCAAGCUUGUCCUUGUCGUUAAUUUGGUUCUUCAUGUUGUACACGUAGGUCUCGAGGCUGUUCCUUGCGUCGAUUCUCUCCUUCACCUUCUUGUCUUCCUCUGCAAACUCCUCUGCCUCCUUCACCAUCCGGUCGAUCUCUUCCUGGCUCAGACGUCCCUUCUCGUUUGUGAUUGUGAUCUUCUCUGAUUUACCACUCGCCUUGUCCUCUGCCUUCACGUUCAGGAUACCGUUGGCGUCCACUUCAAACGUGACCUCGAUUUGGGGUGUUCCUCUGCCAAAACAAAGAGUGUUAUGAUUCUCGUCUAAGAUGCAAAGCAUAAACAAAGAAAGAUGAAGACAAACCUUGGUGCUGGUGGGAUUCCAGUAAGGUCGAAGUUACCGAGCAGCCUGCAGUCCUUGGUGAGACUUCGCUCACCUUCAAAGACCUGAAUGGAGACGGUGGUCUGUUGGUCUUGGUAGGUCGUGAAAACCUGAGACUUCUUGGUUGGAAUCGUCCCAUGGUCUUCCUGAACAAGUCGUUGUUAAGCUCCUCAAAACGAGCUCUGGUGAGUGGCUCCGAAAAAUCAAGACCAUCAAAGAGGGACUCAAUCUCAACACGGACUUGGUGCUGGCUACUAAGAGCUCUCUUGGCUCUCUCACAUUCCCUGCGGAGCUUUCCAAGAGCCUUGUUGUCCUUGCUGAUGUCCUUUUGGUGCUUCUUCUUGAUCAACUUGAUAAAGUAAUCCAUGAUCCUGUGGUCAAAGUCCUCACCUGCGCAGGAGAUUACAAACUCGUAUGAAUAUUCACGCCACAGCAAUAAUACAGAACAUGAAUUUGUUAUGUUAAGUAUAAGUUACCUCCCAAGUGAGUGUCACCAUUUGUGGAUAGAACCUCGAACACUCCGUUGUCAAUGGUCAAAACACUGACAUCAAAGGUACCACCACCAAGGUCAAAGACAAGGAUGUUCUUCUCACCACCCUUUUUGUCAAGACCGUAGGCAAUAGCAGCAGCAGUGGGUUCGUUGAUGAUUCUGGCAACAUUAAGACCAGCAAUAACACCAGCGUCCUUUGUAGCCUGCCUCUGGGCAUCGUUGAAGUAAGCUGCAAAUAAUCAACGCCAUAUAAAGAAUCAAUAAAACCGUAUAUACAUAUUUAAAAAAACGUAUGAUGAAGCGGAAUUGACAAUAAGCAAACCUGGAACAGUGACAACAGCGUCCUUGAUUUUCUUUCCAAGGUAAGCCUCAGCAGUCUCCUUCAUCUUAGUCAAGAUCAUGGCACUGACCUCCUCAGGAGAGAAAACCUUAGUCUCACCAUCCUUGAUCUUCACUUGAAUGUAUGGCUUGCCAUCCUUGUCCACAAUCUGGUAAGGAACAAGCUUCCUAUCCUUCUGAACCUCCUUGUCCGCGAAUCUGACAUGACAAAAACAAAGCAAGAAUUAAAGCAACAGUCAAUACGCAAAACAAGACAAAACAGAAACUUCCAGAAAGAGAAUGCACUUACUUUCGCCCGAUCAAUCUCUUGACAUCAAAGACAGUCCUCUCAGGAUUAACAGCCGCCUGAUUCUUAGCAGCCUCACCAAUGAGCCUCUCAUUGUCAGUGAAACCAACCCACGAAGGUGUAAUACGGUUUCCUUGGUCAUUAGCAAUGAUCUCAACAUGGCCAUUCUUGUAAACACCAACACAAGAGUAGGUAGUACCAAGAUCUAUCCCUAUCACCGUUCCCAACUUGGUUGCCUCUUCUUUAGCAGUUGAAAACGCAAAUAAACAUCCUGAAACAUUACGAAUUUAUAUAUUCCAUCAGUCAAUAAUCAAAAACACAAAUCUCCCAAACCGUAACCUAAUUGUUCACACCACAUUGUACAGCAAACGAAUCAUUAUGAACAAAUUAUCUUAAGAUCGUGAUCAUCAGAGUAUCGAUCUAACAUCUGAAGAUCGCAAUCCAUCAAAUCUCGCAAAUCAACAUUAACGAAUCCACAAACUAAUAUUCAAACCACAUUAUCAAGUAAACGAAUCAUUAUCGAGCAAAUCGUGAGUGGAGCAUCGAUCUAAUAACGCAGAUCGCAAAACUGUAAAUGAUAUUCAAAUCUAAGAGAACAGAUCGAGAAGUAGAGAUCUGAGAGAUCACUCACCGAAGAAGAUGAUCGCGAGCACAACGGUGCCGUUUGCUCCGAACGAGCGAGCCAUAGCGAGUACUUUGUGUGUGUCUGUGUGUUUGAGCUCUCUUUAGAUCUCUCUCUCUUUUUUUUUCCUUCUUCGCUUCUUUUUUAUUUUAAUUUUAAUUUUAGUUACUCCGCUUGGAGGUUAUAUAUAUAGGGGUAGUCUCCGGAGGCGCUUUUUAUGGGAAGACCACGAAACGUAGACUUAUGUCAUCGACGAUUACGUGGACCAAUGAGGUUGCGGCGAUCUGUCGCGCUAGCCAAUCAGAUCGGGUCUUGUGUUGGAGUAAUCGUGGCCGUUGGUUACUUGCUAGGAGCCUAGGACUAUGUUUCUUUUUCGUUGUAGAGAAUGGGCUUUCUUUCCUUUUUGUUUAGGCCCAGCCUUGAGUCGAUUCUAUUUUGAGAAAUGUUUGUUGUUCUGAUCAUUAUGAACUAAUUAAGGACAAAAACAUAUCAUUGAUCAAUUUCACACAUUAAUUUGCUGCUAGUAUUUGAAUGCUGUGACCAACAUAAAUAGGCCAUAGGAAGAUAUUGUACCAAAAGAAAAGGAAAAAUGAGCCUGAUAUAGUAGAGGUGGAAAUCCAGAAAGGGAAUAAUUCAACUCAGAUUUUUGGACCAAACUCGAAUCGGACCAUAAUUUGUUUUUUUUUUGCACAAAAAAAAACCUACCUAGUUCCAUUAACUGAUGAUGAGGUUACUAGCAACAUGUUUAUAUUAUAAAAAUAGGAAUACAACAGUUUUUUAUUUCUUUAAUAGGAAUACAGCAGCUUUUUAUUUCUUUUUUUUAAAAAUAAAGUGUUUUCAAAACUAAACAGAGAUUUAAUAAGUAUUCAGAAAAUGCUUGUAAAAUUUCAAAACUUUUGAAGUUUUUUUCAAAAAUGAUAUAUUGUUGUAAAAGUCUUCCACAUUUAUGGUAAAAGUCUAAAGAUAGUUAAUGUGGUAAACAUGUCAUCAGCGUUUUUUGUUUUGUUUCUCUUUCUUUGCCUUCUUCGUGUCUUUUUGUGUUGCGAAGAAGAGAAAUACGAGAGCCCUAAUUUACAAUUUCACUAAUUCGAUUUUGUUUAACUCAAUAGGCUUUCGAAUCAAAGCAAUCGGUUUUUGUGAGUAGACAAUCACUGUUCCUCAAACGCAUUUUAGAUAUUUAAACUUGAUUUUGAAAAUUUAAUUAGAGAGGGGAAAUUGGACAAGAGAAAAAAGAUUGGAGGGCUAUAUGAAACGAUUAUAUAUUAUUUAUAUACUUUUGGGUGGCUUCUUGAGGAGUUGUGAAGUGAUGAUAAUAAAUAGAGUUAUUUUUUUGAUAAAAAAUGUUUACAAAGGUUUAAGGCAGUCAUCCUUUAAUUUCUCACGUGCGUCAUGUAUUAAUGUCCUUUGCCGACAGUUUCUCACUGUGGUUAUACACUAGUACAUAGUACAUAUAGUACCUAUCAUAUUUUCUACAUUUAUCUUAGGCAUCUCAAACUUAUGUUUAGAAUGUUAUGAGCUGACAAAAAAAGGAAUGUUAUGCAUUUUUCUGAAAGACUAAAUCCACUUCUUCUCAACAUUUAAUAUUUUGUUCCUGAUGAUAUUCAUGAAUCAUUCCGUAACUACAAUAACUAGGAUAAGACCCGCGCCUUGCGCGGGAUUAAGUUAUUAUUUUUAUUAUAUUUUGGAGAAUGAAACAAUAGUUUGGCUUCAUUUGGAUUACGGGUGUUCAAUCCGAAUAUCGGGUUGAUUUCAGUUCAGUUCGGUUUUUUUCGGUAUUUGGUUAGUAAAAUAUAACUACUAUUCUAAAUCCAUAUUUACUUUGACUUUAGUCUUUCACAUACUUUUGAAAGAUUUCAACUAGACGAUUAAAUUGAUCAGCCAAUCUUAUUGCUUUAAAUCAUAAGGUUAUAUAUAUAUAUAUAUUAUUUAGUUUGAAUAUUUAUUAAAUAAAAAUUCAUAUGCGUUAUAUUUUAUGAUCAUUUGUAACUUAUUAUAACAAAAAAAUAAUCUAUUGAUCACAAAAUUUUCAGAGUGGGAAUAUUCAAAUUUCUAAUAAUAUAUAGACGUUUUGAAAAAUUCAAAUAUAACAUAUAAGAAAAAAUAUAAAUGUUUUUAUUAUAUAUUUAAUGUGAUUUUUUAAUAUCUUUCAAUAAUAUAAAAUUAAAAAAAAAAGAACUAAGAUACCAAAAUUGUUAUCAAAUAUUUAUUAUUCAUAAUAAUUAAUUUUCAUAUAUACGUUAAUCAUAUUAGGUAAUUUCGUAGCUUCUAAUUAAGGAAAGUGCAAAAAAAAUUUUGGUAGAUUAUUUAUCAAUUCGAUAGUUAGUUUAAUAAAAAAUAUAAUGUAAGUCAAGAUGGACCAACCUAUUUUUCUAAGAAUAGUAUAUUUUAUAUAGUCAUUUAUUAAAUGAGAAUUUAUAAUCAUACAGUUCUAUGAUCAUUCAUAUCAUUUUAUAACUGAAUAUUUAAAUCAUCGAUAACAAAAUUUUCAAUCUGAAAUCUUUAAUAAGUUUAUAAUUUAUAAAUGUUUUUGAAAAUUCAUUGAAAGUUUUAAUAUUAAAAUAUUUAUGUAAUCUUAUGGUAUAUUGUUUAAUAUAUAUAUAUAUAUAUGUUUUAUUAUUAAAUGAUAUUUUUUACUCAUAUGGUUUUAAAAUCAUGUGUAUCUUCUUAUAAUAAAAAUGUUAAACCAUUGAUCAUUAAUUUUUAACAUAAUAAUUUUAAUAGUUUUAGUCAUUUAUUGUCGUUUUUAAAAAUUCAAAAUAUAACAUAUACGAAAAAAUCUAAAUUUUAUUUUUAUAGCUAAUUUGAUUGUUUAAUUUAUUUUAAUAAUAUAAAAUUAAACAAAAAAUGAUGGAGGAGAUAUACAUUGUUAUCAAAUCUUUAUUAUUAAACUCAUUAAUUGUCAUAUAUAUAUUAGUCAUUUAUGGUAAUUCCGUAGGUUUUAUUUAAGGAAAGAAAAUAUCAUAUCAUAUCAUUAUAUCAUAUAGUUUGACCAACUUAUAUAUCUAACAACAUAUAAAAAUCGAAUGUGGACCUACUUAUUUUUCAAUUGAAUGUAAUUGACUAUCUAAUUGAGUGUCACCUAUGCAUUGGGGCCUCUUUUAAUUAAUACAAAAUUGAGGUUACAUUUUUUCAAAUGUUCCUCAAUUAAUAUAUAAGGGAUUUUUCAUUUUCACCAAAAUAGACAGAGUAAUGCAUCCGUACCGUAUGUAUAUUAACGUACGAGUAAAUAAAGUAGGGUUCCGUCCUGCACUUUUCAGUCCUGUCUUUGAAUCCAGUGAAUAAGACAUCGGGUAACAAGCACCUCAGUGCGAAGAUAGUCGAUUCUUGGAUUUCACUCAAAUCAUGUGAUGGUCCAUGUCCCUGGUUCAGAAUUGAUGUCUUGUAUAAGUCUCCACUUUUAGGUCGGAUCUUUUGUAACUUCGUGGUUUAAAAGAAGUUUCAGUAGAAUAAUGUGUUCUCGUGGUGGUUUAAAAACAAUGAUGAACGAUUAGGUAAUGUAGGUACCUAGUGAAUGUUCCUAGACGGAUACUUGAUCGUGCAUCAUCGUCUCUGUGAUUAAAACUUUUUAAGAUCCAUUAAAAGUUGAUAAAUGAAAGUUGAAGUCGAGAGGAAUAAAAAUAAAAACAAUGGUAGGGUCCAAUAGGGACAGGCAUUGACUUGGAAUCGUAUGAAAUCUGAUAGACAGUGUAGCGGCCCAACAGCCCAUCGCCAGCUGGAUUUCUUUAAAAGUGGGUCCCAUCUUCGAUCCGUUUCUCCCAAAACUCACGUGACCUCCCCCUCCAUCUUUCUUCACUAUCUCCCUCCUCCCCACGUGACCUGACCUCUCUCUCUCUCUCGCCUCUCCUUCAUUCAUCUAGCAGACGAGCCCUCGCUCCGAUAUGCUCUGUAUCCUCAUUGCUAUCCUCGGUAUAAUCGAUUCUCCUCUAAUCCUUCCUCAUUCUCUUUGGUUUUGUUUCUCUACAAUUUCUCUCCUCGAUCCCAUUGCAUUUUUGAUCGUCUUUCAAUUUCAGUUAGGUUUAUGUUCGAUUUUGUUGAAUCCGUUACUCAUACGGAUCUGCAUUAAGAUGAUUUAGCAUCUCCAUGACUCAUCAAUGUGUGAUGAUGAUUUGAUUCUUCAACGUUGUGUUUGUUGUUUUUGCUACUUAUGUUUUGAUUCUCGAAUCUUUUUUAAUGAUAUUGAUUAUUGUGGGGCCAAUGGUGGAGUAAUAACGAAUUGAUGUUAUAAAGUUGCUUGCUUUACAAUAUAGUCUUCUUGGUUUGCUCAUUUUAAUACCAAUCCGGUGGGCAAACAAACCCUUUGUUUUAUAGCCCAUGUUAUUUUGCUGUCUGCUAAUUUUAUCUGUCUUACAAGGUUACAUGUAUUGUUCUUAUCUAGUGCAGAAACAAGAGCAGAUGGGUCAGAUUCUACACAAGUCAGAGCGUUGUUAUCGAUUUAGACAGCCUCUUAUGGGGUAAAAGAGAUGGUUAAAAUAGUGAUACGACUUAUCUGAAAGAUGGAAGAGAGACGAGAUGAAUCGUUAUCUUCAGAACUUGCGGAAAGGGUGAAGUUACUUUCUGUUCAAUAUCAAGGUGAAGGUUUGAUUAGGGAGUCUCCUAGGAGUGUUGAGCAGGAUGUCUCUCCAGGUCAAAGGGCAUCACAGCUUCUUUGGGAUACUGGGAUGCUUUGUGAACCCAUUCCUAAUGGUUUCUACUCUGUUGUUCCGGUGAGCUUCUUGUUUUUCUUAUUUCCGCUCUUAUUUAGGAAGAUGCUGCUUCUAAUGUGAUUUUUUUUUUGGCUGUAGGACAAGAGAGUAAAGGAACUAUAUAAUAGACUACCCACUCCGAAUGAGCUUCAUGCUUUGGGAGAGGAAGGUGUCAGAAUUGAAGUCAUUCUUGUUGAUUUUCAGAAGGAUAAGAAGCUUGCCAUGCUAAAACAGUUGAUCACUACACUUGUCAGUGGCUCAAAUCCUGCUUCGAUGAUCAAGAAAAUAGCUGGAACGGUAGAAAUCCUCUUAAAUGACUUUUCUCUCUUUGUUAUAGGUUUGCAUUGCAUGUUCUCAGGCGUUUAUUCAUUCUCUUUAAACAGGUGUCUGACUUUUACAAGCGUCCUACACUGGAAAGCCCUUCAAAGCUUGCUCUGGAGGAAAAUGCCUUCUUGUUUGAAAACCAUGGUGCUCAGUUGCUUGGCCAAAUUAAGCGUGGGUGCUGUCGAGCUCGGGCAAUUUUGUUCAAAGUUUUGGCUGAUACUGUUGGACUUGAGAGUCGGCUGGUGGUGGUGAGCCUCAACUUCUUGCUGUUUCAGUUUUCUUGUUUCCUCUGAUUAUGUGCUAUUUGUCUCUAACAAAUCAACCUUCUCGUUUGAUUCAUAUGAGCAGGGUCUGCCUAAUGAUGGGACUGUGGAUUGCAUGGACUCUAACAAACACAUGUCUGUUAUAGUCGUGCUGAACUCCGUUGAACUACUAGUUGAUCUAAUCCGUUUUCCUGGUCAGCUGGUGCCUCGAUCAGCCAAGGCAAUUUUCAUGUCACACAUCACACCUUCGGGAGAGAGUGAUUCUGCCGAAAACGACUCUUGUGACUCGCCUUUGGAGCCAAAUAGUCCUUUAUACGAGAGAAGAGAUCCUGAGAGGUCAGCUUUCCGUUGCGUGAUUUUCUUGCUAAACCAUUUUAUAGGCAGAUCAUUCUGGACACAUCUCUUGUUAUAUGCUUCCCCGGGAGUGAUGAACCGUUUCCUUAUGUUACAGUACAGAAAAAGAUGAAAAAGGAUAUCCAAAUGCAUCAUUGCAUAAUUUGAUGCUUAGACCUGCUACAGCUAUUGAAAGAAAAUUGAGGUACCUGUGACAUAUAUUCUGACAAGUUGUAUCUUUAAUGGUAGAUUUAUGAUAGAAAUGUGUUUUUUUCCUUCAGUAACACCUCACAUAGUGAACCAAAUAUUGCCACUGUGUUCUGGAGACGUAGCCGCAGAAAAGUGAUUGCUGAACAGAGAACAGCUAGCUCGAGGUUUUUCCCUGCUCUUUCUAGCUUAGAUUAUAGUUAACAGAAAAUAAAAUACGCAGAUCAUUACAUUGAUAUAGUAAUGAGUUGGAAAAUGUAAAAGUUACCGUUUCUCUCCUUCUUGCUGCUUUUAUAUUUAAAUCUCCUGAUAAGAUGCAUCUCAGAAAAUUUGCUUGGCGAUUCUGUAUGCGUUAUUUGAAGUGUGCCUUUCUUUAUGCUCAACUGAUAAAAGUCGGCAAUCUGUUACAUUUGCAGCCCAGAACACCCAUCCAUGCGAUCACGUGGACGAUCUAUGUUGAGUACUGGUAGGCACUCGUUUAGGGAUUACUCUGGUGAUGCAUCUCCUUCAAGGUAGCUCAUUUUUACAAUAGUGCAUACCAAAAUCUGUCAGCCUUUUCCAUACAUCUAGUCAGCAUGUUUGACAGGACUUCCAAUAUUAGUUAGUUCCUUAUUCAAGUCUUUGCUAGAUUUUGCAAAUUUGCUCACAUAUGUUAAAACCAACGUAUGAGGCUGUGGUUGCAGACCCUAAGCUUUUCAUUGGUUCCUUGGAAAGGCUACACUCUAUCUUUUCUAGAAAUUUAUGUUCAGAGAUUUGGGAUUUCUUUCAGAGCCAACAAAACCAUUAAACUUAUUCUCAUAAAUAAUGAAAGAUAAAGGAAAGUAAUAACUUAGAUGUAUUUAGUACCUAAGAGAGAGUGUUGCCUUUCCAAGGAACCACCCAUGAAAAGCUUAAGGUCUUCAACCACACCGUCAUAUAUUGCUUCAGGGAUAAUUCAGAUAUUGUUCAAAUAGAUCUCAAGGAUUAAUAUUUGCUAGAUUUUGCAUAUUUGCUCUUAUUAUAUGUUAACUCGAGUAUUAAUUUUUGUCUUUGUAAAUUUCACUCCAUUUUAGUGAUAAUAUACUUUACUAUUCUUGCAUUGUUUGUCAGAAUUCUGAUCUUACUAUUACGAGAUGCCCAGAGCAAUAUGUAUAUUUGAUUGGCUGUGCAAACAAAUUUUAAAUAUGUUUAUCUUUCUAACAGUUCAUCCACAUUAGAAAUUCGUAAAACUAGACGACGAAGUUUCAGGAUGACACCAGAGAUUGGGGAUGACAUUGCGAGGUUGGUAUUCUCAACCGUGUGCACUGUUUCUUCUUUCAUCCUUUACAAGCAUUUGUGUAAUUAUCAGCUUGCAUAUUAAAGUCUCUUUAUUCGAACUUGUUCUAUCAAUCUAAGUUAUGAGGUAAUUUUGGAACUCUUCGAUCAUCUUAACAGCUGUCAUUAUAUCACAUGGAAUUACGGCAUGAGCCAUCUAAAAUGCAAAACUGUUAUCUUCAAAUUCGUAGAUGCUUAGGUGUCUGUAGGAUAGUGAUGUACCAAUGUGAUGUUGAAACUAUAUUUUCACUCUCACUGCCACAAAAGCUUUUAAACCAUUUCAUGGCACUUCUUCUAACUUUGUGAUUUGGUACUGAGAAUUAUGAGAAAGAACUCAUGAAAGAGUGAGCUGCGGUUUUAUCAUUUUCUUGUGUAUUGAUUCUGUUGUUACAAAUUUUUGAAGCGCUGUACGAGAAAUGUAUGAGAAAUCAAAGCAAAACCGUCUCUUGCAUGGCCGAGAGGAUGAAAACAGCUCAGGUAUCAAUAAAAAUGUAAGUUGGGGAUCUUUGAGUGACUAUUGUGUUGUGUCAGUUCUCUUCCCAUAGUUUAACCAGUAUAUACGUUCUGAGUUUUCUCGAGAAAGUCAUUGCACUAAGAAGUUGAAUCUAGUGGCUCGUACCUCUAUAAACUCUUGUGCUUUCUUUGGUUGUUAUUUUCCAGGUGUCUGGCCUCCAUCUUGAUGAUGUGUUAAAUUCGAAGAAGACAAUGUCGUUGCCAUCAUCCCCUCAUGCUUACAGGAGUCAAGGAUUCGGACGUAGAGGGCCUUCAGAUUUUGCCGUGAAGGAUACGUGGAAUAAAGUGGUUGAGUCUUCCACAUUGCAGAAUCAGCCUUUGUUACCCUAUCAAGAAUGGGACAUUGACUUCUCAGAGCUGACUGUUGGAACUCGGGUGGGGAUUGGUAAGCUGCUCUAAAUUUAUCUUUGAUAUGGACAAUGCAGUUUUUAGUUCAUUUUCAAUUACUUAAGCAUUGUAGUAUAAAGAAUCAUUGUUUUAUGUUUUGCAUCUAGGAUUUUUUGGUGAAGUUUUUCGUGGAGUGUGGAACGGGACAGAUGUUGCUAUCAAAUUGUUUCUGGAGCAAGAUCUUACUGCCGAAAACAUGGAAGAUUUCUGCAAUGAGAUAUCGAUUCUCAGGUACCUUGUUAUCAAUUGCUUGGUUAUUGUUGUAUCAAUCCCUGUAUACAUCUACUAACUAUUUUGCAUGUUUGCUCGGGCAUCUGUGGUUUCUCUUCAGCCGAGUUCGCCACCCAAAUGGUGAUUUUUGUUUUCCUCACAAUCUCUCGUUUCAUGUUUAUUAAAUAGUUUGUGGAGACAUGUCUAAGAUUAUUUUCUUCGUUCACCUUUAUCAGACAAGUUGUGAUCCAUGUUUUUGCAGUUGUUCUAUUUCUGGGUGCCUGCACAAAACCUCCGCGCUUAUCCAUGAUUACGGAAUACAUGGAGCUGGGAUCUUUGUAUUAUUUGAUCCACAUGAGUGGUCAAAAGAAGAAACUUAGCUGGCACAGAAGGCUCAGGAUGCUAAGAGACAUCUGCAGGUACAUUAGCUUGGUUAUAAUGUUACCAAUUUAUUUGCUCUGCCUUGUGAAUCUGAGGAUUAGUUAUUAACUGCUUGGGGCUUAUUAUGUCAUCUUUAUUUUUAGUUAUUAGUUCCUUAUUAAGUAGUAUAUCUUAAUGGAGUGAACAAACUUGAUUUGUUUCACUCUACAUAAGAAACAAGAGCAUCUUAUACAUAUUUCCAUAGAUAGUAUAUUUCAAACUACAUAUGCGUAAUUCAUAUGCUGGUUUGUAUUUUUGAUUUGGAUGCUUAAGGGGCUUGAUGUGCAUUCACCGGAUGAAAGUAGUCCACCGUGAUCUAAAAAGUGCCAACUGUCUCGUGGACAAACAUUGGACAGUCAAGAUCUGUGAUUUUGGGCUCUCGAGAAUAAUGACUGAUGAAAACAUGAAGGACACUUCAUCUGCUGGUACACCAGAGUGGAUGGCUCCAGAACUCAUUCGCCAGGAACCUUUUACGGAGAAAUGUGAUAUCUUUAGUCUUGGUGUCAUAAUGUGGGAGCUUUCUACUUUACGUAAACCAUGGGAAGGUGUUCCACCUGAGAAGGUACAAUAUGCUAUGCCAUGAUUCUUCUAGCGAUGUUCAUUCCUGAACAUCUGGACCACUUGUUUCAGGGUUAAAUAAUUUCAUGUGAAUUAGAUUGAUUGUUGAAAGUUUGCUUCUUAGGUUAUAUUUGCUGUUGCGCAUGAACGGUCACGUCUUGAGAUUCCUGAUGGUCCACUCAGCAAACUAAUUGCAGGUUCGAUGUUGUUAAACACCAUAGUUUCUUGAACUUCUGAUUGUUCUUUUUCGUUUUUUUUUCUCUCAUUAUAUUCCACUGUUACAGUCUGAGUAAAUGUUACUAUAAUAUUUUCUCUGCAGACUGUUGGGCAGAGCCUCAAGAACGUCCAAAUUGUGAAGAGAUACUUAGAGGCUUGCUAGAUUGUGAGUAUACACUGUGUUAGCACCACUUCUCUGUGGUGGGAUAUGAGCCGAAGGAGUUUCAGCUCAAAAAGCAGCCCAGGUUCUUAGUUCUCUGCUCCUAAACUUACCUUAGCGGCUUAACUUUUAAGAUCAUGCGAGCUUCAAGGCUCUAAUGAGAGAAAUUCCCAGUUCAGUUUUGAGAGAGGCACCAAUGUAGACAAUAACAAGCAGUGUCUAUUGUGUGAUUCAUGGUCUCACAGGCAGUGUUUGUGGUUUUAAAGAGCAUUUUGGUCUAUUUCAAGAAAAUAUAGAUAUAUAUGUAAUGCUAUUCUUUUUUGGGAAAAAUAAAGAGCUCUUUGAUAUGUUACUUCAUUCAUCCAUCCAUUAUCUUCAAAACAAAGAUGAAAUUAGUAAGUGUGUGCAUAUGCUGCUGCUGAGUCGCUGACAAACAUCUCAUAAUAAACAGGAUAAUAAUAAGAAAGCAAUAACAAGCCAGAAUUUAAAAAAAAAAAUCAAUUACCAUCUAAAUGGAGUUUAUGAAAAUAAAUAAGUUAGCAUCAUUCUAACCAAAAUUGCAUCUCUCAAUCUGAGUUAUCAUCCCAAACAAGCAAAACAUAGAGCAACUACAACUAUAUAAUUUUUUUUCAAAAAGAAAAAAAAAACUACAACUAUAUAACUUAUAGGACACGAUACCUUAACAUUGUAUGCCUAGUUCUUGAUUAAUUCGUAUAUAUUUUAAGGUUAUAUAAUUUCUUGUGAUAUUAUUAUCUAGUGGGGAGUACUGGGGACACUACUGAGAGUCAUGCAAAAAUGAAGGAAGUUUCUUGGAUUCAACUUUAUUGUUCAUCCAAAAAUUGAAAUCUGGUGGUCCAUUUUCAGUUACAUGCAUGUAUGUUUCAUGAUUACAUUACAGCAUAAACAUUUACAUGAUUCUUCUCUAUAUAAAUGAUCCAUCACUCUUCUUCUCUUUGUUCUAUACAGAAGCAGAGUAAAACAAAGACCCAAAGAAUAAAAAAAAUGGAAGCUAAAGUCAUUUCUUGCACUACUUUUGGAGAAGACAAGGUCAUAAAGAUUGUUGUUUCGAGCCGUCGUGCAGUCACCAACUACAAACCUGGAGAAAACGAAACGACCGUUGUUGUUGCCGAUGAUACUUGCUCCAAGAAAGAUGUUGAAGAGAUUAAGAAGACUUGUGAGAAGCUCGAUUAUGUUUACGAAGGAAGACUUCACGAAGAUUACGCUCAGAACAACAUUGGACCUGGUUUGGUCUGAAAGUUUCAGAGUUACAGUUAAACUCUCUAUGCUUUGCUUCACUUUUGUCUAAGUACUUUUCUUUUCUGCAUUUUUUCUUUCUAUGUUCUAAGUUAGCUAUUGGUGGUUUGCAGCUAUGAAUAUGAGUUUAUUAGUUACAUUUUCUUACAACACUGACUUUGACCUAAUCACUCUGGCCUUAACACACAACAAUCUAACUUGUUAAUAUAAACUGAAUGUGGUGCUUUGAGACAUCGGUUUUUUUUAGUACAAAUGGAGAUGGCUUCUCCUAUAGCUUGAAAGAAUGUAGCAAUUUUGUAAGUAAAGAACCCAACCAACAUUGGUUUCAACUUCAAGUGCAUGAAUCCAAUACUCAGGGACAAGUAAUCUGCCAAACAUAUUCAAAAAGUAAAUCUGAUUGAUGGAACCAAGUUAGUUGUAGUGAAAAGAUAUAAUAAUGCACAAGAGAGAAGCGCUUACGCAUUCCAUCUGUUGAAUAUCAUAACCAGCGCAAGUAUGGACUAUUCAAGGUGUUACGGAAGAUCAAUGAUAAUGUUUAUGUUGUGGCUCUCCCAGAAUCUAUGAACAUUUCUAAUACCUUCAACGUAGCUGACAUUCAUUAGUAUCAAGCAGAUGAGAAUUUGGGGACAAGUUCUUCAUGGAGGAGACUGAUGUAAAAAGGAUUUACUAGUUUUUCCUUUUUGAUAUUUUCUAUUUUUGUGAGUUUUCCUUUUUUUUUUCUUAAGUUUCCUUUUUAGUUUUCACGUUUGGAUUUUUUCUAUUUUAUGGUUGAGAUCCUUCUCCAUAUAAAAAGAGGUUCUAAGUUUUUGUAAGACACAACUUGUUAUUCUAAUUGAGAGCUUUUAUCUAAUCUGGUGGAUUUCCAGAGUUUUCUCUUCAAAUUCAUCGCUUGUUCUAGUGUUUGCUAAUCCUAAAGUUUUCCGACUGCGUCAGAAGCAGAGUAAAAAAAACAAAUACUCAAAGAAAAAAUGGAAGCCAAAGUGAUUUCUUGCACUACUUUUGGAGAAGACAAGGUCAUAAAGAUUGUUGUUUCGAGCCGUCGUGCAGUCACCAACUACAAACCUGGAGAAAACGAAACGACCGUUGUUGUUGCCGAUGAUACUUGCUCCAAGAAAGAUGUUGAAGAGAUUAAGAAGACUUGUGAGAAGCUCGAUUAUGUUUACGAAGGAAGACUUCACGAAGAUUACGCUCAGACCAACAUUGGACCUGGUUUGGUCUGAAACGUAGAGUUAAAGUCAACUCUCUAUGCUUUACUUCACUUUCGUUUAUGUACUUUUCUUUUAUACAUUUUGAUUUCUAUGUUCGAAGUUAUCUCUUGGUAGUUUGCAGUUAUGAAUGAGUUUAUAUGUGAGUUUAUUAGUUACAUUUUCUUACAACACUGACUUUGACCUAACCGCUGGACUUAACACAGAACAAAACUAACUUGUUAUAUAAACUGAAGUAGGUGCUUUUAGACAUCGCUUUUUUUAUAGUAGAAAUGGAGAUGUCUUCUUCUAUAGCUUGAAAGAAUGUAGCAACUUUGUAAGUAAAGAACCCAACCAACAUUGGUAUCAGCUUCAAGUGCAUGAAUUCAUACUGAGGAACAAGUAUUCUGCCAAACAUAUUCAGAAAGUAGAUCUUAUUGAUGAAGAUAUGAUAAUGGACAAGAGAGAAAAGGCUUACGCGUUCCAUCUAAUGAAUAUCAUAACCAACAAAACCAGGACUAGUAACCGUGGCUGUCCAGCUGCACCUCUAUCAGAUCAAUCAAGCCAAGAAAGAAAAGAAAAAUGUGAGUGAGUCUUCUCAAUAUAGAUAACCGAAAUGAAUGAGAAUAGAAAGAGGUAACACGUACUUCAUAACUCCUCUGGCUCCAUCUGCCAUGGCAUCUACAGUGUUACCAAACAUUCUCAUGUAAGCUAAUGAACCCAUCAAGCCAGCACCAAAACUGUUAACAGAAGUUCCAACACAGAUACAAAUAAAUCCGAUCAGAUGACUUCACAGUUAUUAAUUUUGAGAGGUUUUGAUGUCCUUUGUAGGAGAAAGACAAACCUAAUUAGUGUUAUCUCUGGUGUUGUAUUGUAUGAAAUAUAAGCUGAGACUAAACCAACACCACCAAUGCCAACUGUGAGAAGCUGUAGCUUUAUUUUUCAACUGCAAAAAUAAAAAUAAAAACCGAAAGUCAAAGAGAGUGAAAACCAAAGAGUCCAUGAAGAUUAAAGAGUUUGAUGCAAAACCAAUAUGCCUUUCAUGAGUGCCCAAACCGUAAAACCAGUAGCCAUAUAUACCGUGAAAGGAUGAUUAGCUAACGAAUAGGUUUGAUAUUACGUAUGAUAAUAAUUUUUGUUUGAUAUUAUCUGAUGUCUGAUGAUCAUCAUCAUCAUCACCUAUUAUUAUUUUAUCAAGAAAUAAAUCAAAAUACAAGAUAAAUCUGAGUAUAUAUUCAUUGACUAAACAAAAAGUAUUGUUAUUACUUAUCAAAAAAAAAAGUAUUGUUAUUAUCUCAAUUCUCUUUUCUUUUUAAGCUUUUUCCAAAGUUAUUAAUAACUUCUUCCUUUUUUACUUACUUUGUUUAUAUUUUAGUUUUGUAUUUUUAAAGUUUCUGUUUUUGUAGUUUCAUAUGUAUUGACGGUUUAAAGAAGUAAUUCACAGUAAUGAAGGUUAAAUAGAUGACUAUUACAAAGAUUUUAAACCAUCUGUCCUUAAAGAUCAAAAGAAUAUAUAAUUUUAUACGAAAUAGAAUUUUAAUUAUAUAAUAUAAAAAUCUGGAAAGUUGUUUGUAAAGAAAUUCAUACAUCGACUAGGAAACCCAAUUAUAUCAAAAUCUCUAAUGAAUGAGGAAGGAAUAAAGGACAAGUUUAACUAACAAAAAAUAGAAAAUAAAAACAAGAAAGGAAAAAACAAACAAUUUCACUAACAUAUAUCCGACGUGGACUAAUCAAACAUAUUAAAAUUGCAAUCCUAAAACAAAUAAAGUAUGGGAAGCCUCCAUCAAGUUCUACUAUAUAUAAACACACACAAAUCUAUUUGUAGUUCCAUCUCUUUCUCAUUGCUUUCUACCUCUCGGCAAGUAAAGAAUCACAAUAUCAAUCAUGAAGAACACAAUCAUGACUUUGUUAAUUGUAGCAUUGUCACUAAUCGGAUUAGCUCGUUCUGCAUCUUUUUACGAGGUUGGAGACACCAACGGAUGGACGACAAAGAUGGGCCUUGACUAUUACAAGACAUGGUCUUCUUCAAAGACUUUCUAUGUCGGAGAUUCCCUCAUCUUUCAAUACAACAAAGAUCUCCACAACGUGAUGGAGGUGAGCUUCAAAGAUUACGAGUUGUGUAACCCUAAUUCAGCUCUGGCCACAUAUCACUCUGAGUAUGAACCGGUUAAGCUUAACAGAACCGGACACUAUUACUUCAUAUGUGGUGUGCCUGGUCACUGUGAAUGUGGUCAAAAGCUUGAGGUCCUAGUCAUGGCGCCUGCCUCUCUGCAGAAUCCUGCCACAACUCAACAAAACAACUCUUCUACUUCUUCUAACCCUAAACCUAAUCCUACUAUUCCUGAUCCUAAACCUAAACCUAAUCCUACUAGUCCUGAUCCUAAACCAAAGCCUUCACCGCGUUGGGAGGAUCCUCUUGUGGUUCUUCCAGUAGAUGCUGCAACAAUUGCAUCACUUCCUCACAAUGUAGCCUCAGAUCCUUGUGUGUGGAGUGGGUUAAGCUUGCUCUCAUUCGUUCUUCUACAAACCCUAGUUUUUCUUUAAGAGUUUUUUUUUUUUGUCUUAGAACAAUGUUAUUUUAGGGUUUUAUUUUGAGAUUUGUGAGUAGAUUUUUUAUUAUUAUUGCUUAUAAUCUUAAUGGUGUUUGGUUUUCUAUUACCUUCAUGGAUAUUUCUCCAUAUAAUCACAAAUAACUUCUAAAUUAUGUACUCUUCUUUUUAAGCAUCACAGAUUUUGUUUAUCUGCAAACUGGAAUAUAUAACUUAAGACGUGAGGGUCGUAAGAUUUACCCAAGGUCACCCACAAAACUCUUUAUAAACCAUAAAUCCGCUGGUCCAAAAAGACCAUCGUAACGAAUCUUUUUUCUAUUUUUUUGUUAUCUAACAGAAGAAUGCAUCUUCUUGCGUAUAAGUUAUGGAUCUAUAUAUAAUCUGAAUAUUCCUCGUAUAUAUAUUCAAUAAUUGUCUUUGUGUAAGAAUGUGACAAGAAAGAGAGCCAGAACCAAACCAACUUUUACUAAAAACUGCACCGGUGGAAGGUUACUCUUUGGCUCGUUUGCUCUGUGAUUUACGCUUGGUAACGUCUAGACAUCUCUUCCUCAACCUAAUCGUCUUUGGAGUAACCUGAAGACAUUUAAACCAAUAACAAUACAUGAUAAGAAGGCAGAAAUAAAACGUUCCUCGUGGUUAGCUGGACUUAGGAUUGACGAUUAAUUAACAAUGUUACCUCAAUAAGUUCAUCUGAGGCAACGUAUCCUAUAGCUUCCUCAAGUGUCAUCUGAAUAGAAAAGAAAGAUAAGAAGUUUUAGUCAACAAGAAAACGGGUUUCUUGUCUCUUUCGAUGUUGUGAGAAAAGUAGAGCUAAAGGGAAAAGGGUACAUACGAGGCGAGGUGGAGAUAGCUUCACAUUCUCGUCUUUGUUAACAGAGCGAAUGUUGGUAAGCUCUUUGGCCUUAACCGGGUUAACCUGUAGUUUGCAAUGCAAGGAAGCUCAUGGUAUUUAAGUCAAUUUUAAGAGCCAAGAAGGAUGAGUCUAACCAACUUACAUCAAGAUCUGUGUCUCGUGAGUGCUCACCGAUAAUCAUGCCAUCGUAUGACUGUUAAAAUACAACGAAACAGAACAGGAUGCAGCAUUAGCAAAGGAUCAAACGCGCAAAGACCACAUAAAUGUUCUAACUAUGAAUAACUAAACCAAUAAAGAAACAGAACAUGUAUAUAUAUAUCAUAAAUAGAAAGGUUCUCACGUCCAGCCCCGGAGACACAAAGAGAGUCCCACGAGCUUCCAAACCCAUCAGUGAAUGAGCUGUAAUAGUUCCAUAUCCCAUCGAAACCUGUGUCAUCAAGAAAUAUAAAUUUCAAAUAUAACUUAAUAAUGCAGGCACGACUUUUAGGAAACAAAGACUUCGAGUGAAAAGGGAGAUCUCUCCUAUUCAACAAUCAGACAUAAGAAAACAAAAUAUAGCUAUGCAUCAAAUGGUUAGAUAUUGAGUUAUGGAAAGAGUAUGAUUUAUAAGGGCCAGAAACUAGAGAAAGUAAGCCUACCAAAACUCCUUUCCUAACAUUACCAAGUGGACCUCGGUACUUUUCAUACUCUGCAGGGACCAAAUAUACAAAUGUUAUCAACUAGAGAAUGGAACAGAUACGGGAGUACAAAAGCUGCAUACUCAGGAAAGCACGGUGCAUGAAUCCUGUUCCACGGGUGUCGCUGCUAAACACACAUCUGUAUCCAACCAAACCUCUGUAGAAAGCAAGUAUCAUUUUGUUAAGUUUCUUCAGUGAGUAAAAUUUUAUGUAAGUAUAAUAAAAGGAACUGUAAGUCACUAAACCAACCUUGAAGGACAAGUUAAUGACAGUCUGGUCCUACCAUCAUUUCCAGGGACAGGACACAUGUCAAUAACUUCAGCGCGCCUAUGGGAGAGAGAUUCUAUCACUAAUCCUACGUGCUCCUCAUUAAUCUCAAUAGUCACCUCUUCAAUUGGCUCAAGCCUUUGUUUAUCUUCAGUUUUGUACCUAUAUCACAUAAGUAGAAACUCUCAAAAUUAAAUCAUAAGAUAGCAGCAAGUUCAGCCCUCUCGCACGGCACUAGCAACAUAAAAUAGCAACUACAACUGUAUCUCCAACUCUAGCUAAAUAGCUCAUAUAGUAUGUGAUGCAACAAUCAUCGAAAAAAGAUGGAAACUCACAUGACUUUAGGUGGUGAGACGGAGAGCUCAAAACCUUCCCGUCUCAUAUUCUCAAUCAAGAUACCUAUUAGACACAAUGAAAGAUUACUUCACCUUGCACGGAGAAAUCGAUACAGUUUCAUGUUUAUUUUCCAUCAUUACAGGUGAAGAAACACUUGACAAAAAAGUGGAAAAGCACAAACCAAGUUGAAGUUCUCCUCUUCCUUGGACUUCAAAUGACUCUGACAAGCCUGGAAUAACGUUUAUGGCAAGAUUUGUUUCAGCUUCUGCCAUUAGCCGGUCCCCAAUUUUCCCUCCGGUUAACUGCCACCAUAUUAGCAGACCAGAGGUAAAUAUGAGGCUGCUUCAAGUUUAGAGCCAGAGUACAAUGGCUAUAGCUACGUCUUAAAAAUCAAAACAUACUUGUGUGCCAUCACGACCAGCCAGAGGAGAGUCAUUGACACCAAACGUCAUAGAUAUUGUUGGUGGAUCCAGCUCAACUGAAGGGAGCGCCGUUGUGACCUGUAAUACCGAAAAAAAGAGGUAGCCAUUGGCCAUUGAGAAGUUUUGUUGAAUUCAAAAUUUACUUCUGUAUUUUCUAAAAAAUAAAUAGGGGCGUAGUCUAUUUGGAUAUUACCUCUGCACUAGCCACAGUGUGACCUAUUGAUGGAGUUGUCAAACCAGCCAUACAGAUUAUAUCACCAGCCCCAGCAGCAUCAAUUGAAACAAUGGUCGUGCCUUUCUUUUUCAUUAGCUUCACAACCUGUGAGAAAAGAUGUCUGUAUCUGCUUUUGAUAAGACCAGGGCUGACAAAGCAUUUAACCAAUGUAAAGACAAACCUUUGCUUCUUCUAUUUUCUCAGAGGCUGAAUCAGUAUUGCGUAGUCCAAUGACUUUGUCUCCAACACGGACAACUCCAGAAGAUACUCUUCCAGUUAAUAUUCGUCCUAGAUAGUAGUCCUUUUCCAUCAUUGAAACCUGGUAACUCAGAAGCGAAAAGGCUAGUAAAAUUAGUUGCAUGUACAAUAUUGGCCACCCAAGUCCAGAAGUUUUUAAUUACCAGCAUCAGAAAAGGCGCAUCAAGGUCUGCUUUUGGUGGGGGAACAUGUUUAACUACAGCAUCAAGCAACUGUGACAUUUUCCUCGCAUCUGCAGGAGGCUCUUUGGUGAAGGUAGAAGAUGCCCACCCUUCUUUUGCCGAGGCAUAAAGCACAGGGAAGUCUAGUUGUUCCUCUAGCAAAAGAGAGAAGACAUAAAUAAUAAUUUAGUCAACAAAAAAAAUUAGUAAUCAUUUGUAAGUAAAUAAGAAACUGAUAAAAUUAAUUACCAGUAGCACCAAGAUUUGCAAAAAGAUCAAACACCAAACUCUCCACUUCAUCACACCUCUCUUCUGAUACUGGCAUUGGAAAAAAAAAAGAUGAGAAAACCUGAAGUUUUAACCAAAAGCAAAAGUGAAUGAAGAUUCAUACCUGAAGGUCGAUCAACUUUGUUUAAGAGAAGAAUAGGGCGUAGACCAUACUUCAAGGCCUUAGCAAGAACAAACUUUGUCUGUGCAAGAGGGCCUUCUCCAGCAUCAACAACUAAUAUAGCUCCUUCAACCAUACCAACGACUCGUUCCACCUACAUUCCAAAUAUACCAUAUAUAGUCACAAAGAUCUCACCUUAUAUUCUACUCCACGGAAUGUACUAAUGCUGGAGGACAACUCAUGCUUAAUUUUCAGGAUAACAAAUUGAACAUCUAUAUCUCAUGUAUCUUAUGUGCACUUAGCCACAAAGUAAAUGAGAUCAUACGCCAGCUAGUAACUUAAUCUCAGGGGUAUAUUAACAAAGCCUAAAUUUCCAAACAGUACAUUAGCUCUCUUGGUUCUUGGAUCUGGAAAAAGCUGCUGAAGUAUAGAGCUCUGGCCAGAUCUUAUGUUAAAAUCGAAAUAGGAAGUGGCUCCACUACUUCUUUCUGGUUCGAUGAGUGGUCUCCCUUGGGGAGGAUAAUGGAUCUCACACAAAUGCAAGGUUGCAUUGCGCUUGGGAUUAACCUCAACGCCACUGUGGAGUUUGUUAUUCAGCACUACAGAAGCCGCCAUUAUAACGAAACAGAACAGGAUGCAGCAUUAGCAAAGGAUCAAACGCGCAAAGACCACAUAAAUGUUCUAACUAUGAAUAACUAAACCAAUAAAGAAACAGAACAUGUAUAUAUAUAUCAUAAAUAGAAAGGUUCUCACGUCCAGCCCCGGAGACACAAAGAGAGUCCCACGAGCUUCCAAACCCAUCAGUGAAUGAGCUGUAAUAGUUCCAUAUCCCAUCGAAACCUGUGUCAUCAAGAAAUAUAAAUUUCAAAUAUAACUUAAUAAUGCAGGCACGACUUUUAGGAAACAAAGACUUCGAGUGAAAAGGGAGAUCUCUCCUAUUCAACAAUCAGACAUAAGAAAACAAAAUAUAGCUAUGCAUCAAAUGGUUAGAUAUUGAGUUAUGGAAAGAGUAUGAUUUAUAAGGGCCAGAAACUAGAGAAAGUAAGCCUACCAAAACUCCUUUCCUAACAUUACCAAGUGGACCUCGGUACUUUUCAUACUCUGCAGGGACCAAAUAUACAAAUGUUAUCAACUAGAGAAUGGAACAGAUACGGGAGUACAAAAGCUGCAUACUCAGGAAAGCACGGUGCAUGAAUCCUGUUCCACGGGUGUCGCUGCUAAACACACAUCUGUAUCCAACCAAACCUCUGUAGAAAGCAAGUAUCAUUUUGUUAAGUUUCUUCAGUGAGUAAAAUUUUAUGUAAGUAUAAUAAAAGGAACUGUAAGUCACUAAACCAACCUUGAAGGACAAGUUAAUGACAGUCUGGUCCUACCAUCAUUUCCAGGGACAGGACACAUGUCAAUAACUUCAGCGCGCCUAUGGGAGAGAGAUUCUAUCACUAAUCCUACGUGCUCCUCAUUAAUCUCAAUAGUCACCUCUUCAAUUGGCUCAAGCCUUUGUUUAUCUUCAGUUUUGUACCUAUAUCACAUAAGUAGAAACUCUCAAAAUUAAAUCAUAAGAUAGCAGCAAGUUCAGCCCUCUCGCACGGCACUAGCAACAUAAAAUAGCAACUACAACUGUAUCUCCAACUCUAGCUAAAUAGCUCAUAUAGUAUGUGAUGCAACAAUCAUCGAAAAAAGAUGGAAACUCACAUGACUUUAGGUGGUGAGACGGAGAGCUCAAAACCUUCCCGUCUCAUAUUCUCAAUCAAGAUACCUAUUAGACACAAUGAAAGAUUACUUCACCUUGCACGGAGAAAUCGAUACAGUUUCAUGUUUAUUUUCCAUCAUUACAGGUGAAGAAACACUUGACAAAAAAGUGGAAAAGCACAAACCAAGUUGAAGUUCUCCUCUUCCUUGGACUUCAAAUGACUCUGACAAGCCUGGAAUAACGUUUAUGGCAAGAUUUGUUUCAGCUUCUGCCAUUAGCCGGUCCCCAAUUUUCCCUCCGGUUAACUGCCACCAUAUUAGCAGACCAGAGGUAAAUAUGAGGCUGCUUCAAGUUUAGAGCCAGAGUACAAUGGCUAUAGCUACGUCUUAAAAAUCAAAACAUACUUGUGUGCCAUCACGACCAGCCAGAGGAGAGUCAUUGACACCAAACGUCAUAGAUAUUGUUGGUGGAUCCAGCUCAACUGAAGGGAGCGCCGUUGUGACCUGUAAUACCGAAAAAAAGAGGUAGCCAUUGGCCAUUGAGAAGUUUUGUUGAAUUCAAAAUUUACUUCUGUAUUUUCUAAAAAAUAAAUAGGGGCGUAGUCUAUUUGGAUAUUACCUCUGCACUAGCCACAGUGUGACCUAUUGAUGGAGUUGUCAAACCAGCCAUACAGAUUAUAUCACCAGCCCCAGCAGCAUCAAUUGAAACAAUGGUCGUGCCUUUCUUUUUCAUUAGCUUCACAACCUGUGAGAAAAGAUGUCUGUAUCUGCUUUUGAUAAGACCAGGGCUGACAAAGCAUUUAACCAAUGUAAAGACAAACCUUUGCUUCUUCUAUUUUCUCAGAGGCUGAAUCAGUAUUGCGUAGUCCAAUGACUUUGUCUCCAACACGGACAACUCCAGAAGAUACUCUUCCAGUUAAUAUUCGUCCUAGAUAGUAGUCCUUUUCCAUCAUUGAAACCUGGUAACUCAGAAGCGAAAAGGCUAGUAAAAUUAGUUGCAUGUACAAUAUUGGCCACCCAAGUCCAGAAGUUUUUAAUUACCAGCAUCAGAAAAGGCGCAUCAAGGUCUGCUUUUGGUGGGGGAACAUGUUUAACUACAGCAUCAAGCAACUGUGACAUUUUCCUCGCAUCUGCAGGAGGCUCUUUGGUGAAGGUAGAAGAUGCCCACCCUUCUUUUGCCGAGGCAUAAAGCACAGGGAAGUCUAGUUGUUCCUCUAGCAAAAGAGAGAAGACAUAAAUAAUAAUUUAGUCAACAAAAAAAAUUAGUAAUCAUUUGUAAGUAAAUAAGAAACUGAUAAAAUUAAUUACCAGUAGCACCAAGAUUUGCAAAAAGAUCAAACACCAAACUCUCCACUUCAUCACACCUCUCUUCUGAUACUGGCAUUGGAAAAAAAAAAGAUGAGAAAACCUGAAGUUUUAACCAAAAGCAAAAGUGAAUGAAGAUUCAUACCUGAAGGUCGAUCAACUUUGUUUAAGAGAAGAAUAGGGCGUAGACCAUACUUCAAGGCCUUAGCAAGAACAAACUUUGUCUGUGCAAGAGGGCCUUCUCCAGCAUCAACAACUAAUAUAGCUCCUUCAACCAUACCAACGACUCGUUCCACCUACAUUCCAAAUAUACCAUAUAUAGUCACAAAGAUCUCACCUUAUAUUCUACUCCACGGAAUGUACUAAUGCUGGAGGACAACUCAUGCUUAAUUUUCAGGAUAACAAAUUGAACAUCUAUAUCUCAUGUAUCUUAUGUGCACUUAGCCACAAAGUAAAUGAGAUCAUACGCCAGCUAGUAACUUAAUCUCAGGGGUAUAUUAACAAAGCCUAAAUUUCCAAACAGUACAUUAGCUCUCUUGGUUCUUGGAUCUGGAAAAAGCUGCUGAAGUAUAGAGCUCUGGCCAGAUCUUAUGUUAAAAUCGAAAUAGGAAGUGGCUCCACUACUUCUUUCUGGUUCGAUGAGUGGUCUCCCUUGGGGAGGAUAAUGGAUCUCACACAAAUGCAAGGUUGCAUUGCGCUUGGGAUUAACCUCAACGCCACCGUGGAGUUUGUUAUUCAGCACUACAGAAGCCGCCAUUACAGAGCAGAACACUUGAUCACUAUUGACAAGGAGAUACUGCGGUUGAGAGCACGGGGGCUCACGGAUGAAGACGAUGUGGUUCAGUGGAGAGGAUCAGACGAUGUGUUUCGACCUUGUUUUGAUACACACCAAACUUGGAACUCUACUCGAGUGCAUCAGUCGAAGGUUCAGUGGUAUAAGGGUCUCUGGUUUGCCGGAUCAACCCCAAAGUACUCUGUUAUGUCUUGGAUUGCAGUACACAAUCGUCUGGCAACAGGAGAUAGGCUGCUGCAGUGGAACUCUCAAGCUAAUGCUCAGUGUAUUCUCUGCAAUGCUGCGGUUGAAUCAAGAAACCACCUGUUUUUUAGCUGCUCCUUCACGGAGACUAUUUGGAGGAACCUCACAAGGAAGCUUCUGGGACAGCACUACUCCCACAUAUGGGAUCAAGUUGUUGAUCUUAUCUCGACGCACACUGUCUCAGGGAUAUCAAGGUUCCUGCUAAGAUAUGUGUUUCAAGUUUCCGUCUACACUAUUUGGCUUGAGAGAAAUGGUAGAAGACACGGCACGGUACAGAGACCUCCGAGCCUUCUUAUCAAGUUCAUCGACAAGCAGAUAAGAAACCGCAUAAGUUCACUCCAGGGACGACCCGAGACAGCUUUCAACAAAGCGAUGGCAGAUUGGUUUUCAUCUAGAGACUAGAUGGUUUCUAUUUCACAAACUAUUUUGUUUCAAAAGAAUCACACAAGCUUAAACUAAAGCUGCAUUAGUUUGUACAAAAGCCUUUUUGAUUUGAAUAAAUUUAACAUUCUUUCAAAAAAAAAAAAAAUCUGUUAGUUCUUGAAGUGUCUUAAAUCUCUGUACAUUAGUAAAAAAAUCUGUUGGGUCCGGAAAUUACUUUGUCUAGAAUAAGGAUGUUUUUCAAAGGGAAAGGAGUAAGAGAUUGUAAAUUUAUUCAUUCACAUGAUCCAUAUACAGACCCUAAACGGGUACUUGGCUCGAUUCGUUUUUACUAAGUCUUUUUUUUUUUUGCUUUCUUCAAAGUUGAUUCGCGUAUACAUGAGAAUCAAUAAAACGCUAGAAGUAACAACUUAUACAGAGAUCAGACACAAACCUCCCCACCAAAAUCUGCGUGACCAGGUGUGUCUACCAUGUUAAGCUCGUUUUCUUUCCAAAACACGGAUGUCACCUGUCGGAAAAAUUCACAUAAAAGAACUUCAGCUGUUAUGUUUCAUAGUAUUAAAAAAAAAAAACAUAACUGAAAGCCGCUUUUACAGACAAAAGAACAGAACAGAAACGGAAAAAAAAAAAAAAAAAAGUCUUCGGCUUUGUUAGUCUUAGUCUUAUAUUAUACCGAACCAUUUUUUCAAAGAGUGAAGUAACCGCUUAGCUCUAGUUCCACGAAAAGGCGAUACCUUUGAGGAAAUAGUGAUGCCACGCUCACGCUCGAGGUUGAUUGAAUCCAUGGCGCGCUCGUGUGGGAUGUCGGCUCCACACUGACGGAGAAGCCGGUCCAUGAGGGUGGUCUUCCCGUGAUCGACAUGAGCAAUCACAGCCACGUUCCGGAGUCUAUUAGGAUCGAGGGAGCUGUUAGGAGGAGCUCCGGUGGCAGCAGAGAAGGCUCGCAAGGGAGAGAGAGGUGAUGACUGAGAAGAGAAGGAUCUUCUUCGAGUGGUGUUUGACCAAAGAGAUCGAAGCAGAGGCCCCGCCAUCCCCUCUGAACGCGAAAUAGUUUUACCAAAUCUCAGCUGUUACAAGACAAAGGGUUUAUCUCUUUUGAUGUUAUUUGAAAAUUCAGAUACGAACUCUUUUAAAUUCUCAUAAUUUUCCGUAAGUUUUCAAUUGGCUCUAGAUUUUAACCGAACCAGCCUAACCGAAAUUUUUGGUUUUCGUUCAGUUUCAGUUUUUAGACUGGUUUAGUUUGGAAAGUUUUUGAAGAUAUUUUGACUUUUUAGUUUGGUUUUUCGUUUGUUCUGUUUUAAAAUCAAAAAUCCAAUAAUAUUCUUAUUGUAUACUUUUUUCUAGGCCUUCUCUAUAAAACUAAAACCUUCUCUAUAUUUUAGAUAGAAAAAUUUAUGCCACCAAAAAAUAGAAAUAGAAGUAAUUCCAACAAACUGAUAUAUAGGAAAGACGAAUUAGAGUUGACUCAACUAGAUGCUACCAAUGCAUUGGCGAUAGUGUGGUUCCUCAUUUGGAUCUUAGCUAAACAAUCCUAAUCUGGAUGCUAUAGUUUCUACUGAUUAGAAUUGAUAAGAUUUUGCUUUAUUUCUAUUCGCUGUUACUAUUUAUUUGGUUUAUUAGGUAAAGUAUUUAUUUUAGUUUUGGAUUUUAUAAGCAUAUAGAUGAUUAUUUUAAGUUAGAAUUAAGUUAAUUUUGGUUUUCAAAUUAAUGUAUUCAAUUUUAGUUUUUUUUUUUAAACAAAAGCCUUAUAGCCUUUUUAGGGCCGAGCCAGAUUUUGAAAUAUAAACACAAAAUUUUUGAAGACAGGAUCAGCUCAGGCUUAAAUAGCAAUGGGUUUUGUGGGUUUUGGGCCAGGCCGGAUCGGGCAGCCCGAUUGACACCCCUAGCUCUACUACCACUCUUGUUCAUAAAUAUGUAUUCACUUCCACAACAAUCAAAAACUUUACAUUCUACUCAAACACUUUCACUUGGCUAUUGGCUACUCUCCCACCUAACCAUUUGAAUCACAAACCAUGAGAUACAAGAUCACAAAAGUGUGUGAUUUCAUCACACAACCAAGAACAAAUUCACCCACAUAGACAAAUGCGCUAACUUCCCUUACUUUCAUCCUCCCAAAAUUCUAAUACCUUAUUUCUGAGCAUAAACCAUGGAUUGAUGGUUCAUAUUAGAACACAACAAACCUUGUAAUUUUUGGGACUCUACAAAACUACUUUAAAGUCACUUUCAUCCUACAUGGCAAAGAAAAUAUAUCUCCAAAUUCUCUUUACAUUAUAACUAAUCUUAUAACUAAAAGCUUCUUUCUACUCACUCACUUAAGAGGGCAAUUAGGUACUCUACAAAAUGUCCCUCCAGCCAAAAAUAUGUUAAGUGAUAUUUUGAAACUCAGUUAUGUGCUAAGAGUGUCAUACUGUCAUCAACUCUCGGAGCUAAACUAGUUUGUGUUUUAUUCUGUAAAACUGCAUGUUACGUGUGAAUUAUGAAUUAUUCAACAUUUUAAAGGUCUGUCUGUUUGAUCCCAUAAGCUAUGGUAACUUGGCCUAUGUAUUUUUCUUUUUGGUUGAGAUCGCCAGUGCAGUUGUGUUAUCGCAAAUUUUCCUUUCCAAAAUCAAAUAUUAUUUUUAAAUGAUGUGUAUGGUGUUCAACUUAAAUUUGUUUUCUCCAAACGGCACUAUAUAUUUAUUGCGAAAACAUAUUGCCAAUACUUUUGUGAUUUGUGAUGUAUUGGUGACAUAUACAGAUUUAAACUUAAAAUUAUCUAUCAAAAAAAUCAAAAAAAAAAAAAUAAAGAUAUUUUUUUUUCAUUUUCUUUGGUAUAAGCUAUUGAAAUAAUAAAGUUUGCGACUUACAACAGACAAUAGUGUCAAUAAAGGAAAUCAAACGCUUAUAAUGGUUCUUACUCCAUUUUCGAAACCCCGAGUCAUCAAAUGACUUCUCUUAACAAGAGUUGCAAAAAAGUGCGACAUGGUCUCAUUGGUAUGUGUUGCGCAGUGUCUUAUCAAAUUUUCCCACUCUUAUCAACAUUAAAAAAAAUCAAGACAUGCAUCGAGUUACCUAUAUUUUAGAAAGUCUAUCUUUUGUCGGCUCAAAGUCUUGACAAUGAAUAAGAGUAGACCAAAAGUGGCUCCCUAAGUGUUCAGGUUCAAUAAUAUAUCCCACAAUUUGCAUACUGGAUUGAUCUGGUCUCUUGAGUUUGUAGGGGCCAAAACUAGAGAACGUGUGAGAUAUUGUCACUUCGAUUUUGAAUAAGGUUUAAGAUUGCUUUCAGAUUGUUUGUAACAAUGUCAAACUAUUAUAUUUAACAUAACUAUAUAAUUUUAUGAAACUAAAUCUGUUGUGUAUUUUAUCUAAGAUUUUAUUAAUAUUUUAUUUUCAAUAUAAAUAUUUCGUGUAGCUAUUGAUUGGGAAUGAUUCAGCAAAAAACAGGAUGAAAUUUCAUGUGUGGAUUAUUUCCGAACUCCAAACUAGUUCAUUGGCCACAAAAUCUAGUAUUUGAAAUGGAACUAAAGUUUGAAAGAUUAUGGAUUUCAGUAAUCCGAAGAUAAACCAAACAAAGUAAAUUAAGAAAAUUCAGUUGCUUAUUUGUUUGAAACUUUUGAUAAUUAAACUUUAAGAUAAGUCUGAAUCAGAUAAGAUCUUCAUUUAUUUUGCUAUAAUUCGUUUUGUGUAAAAGAUUUGUUAGAAUUCGUGUCAUCAGCUGAUGAUAUAUAUUAAUGGUGUCUCCAGAUUCCAUGGUCGGUCUUAACUACUAAUUUCAGGACCUAAUUAGUAAAUUGCACUUAUCUAUAUAGAUAGCUAGAUCAUAUAAACUACUGGAUGUCAAGCUUGAUUAUUUGACCCCGCGUGCAAAGUCAUCAGCUGAUACUGAAGAGUCAUUCAUAGUUGAAACAAACCUACACAAGAUCAGCCUACUGCCUACAGUCCACAUAAAUACUCUUAAAAUUUUUCAAACCUUACAACUAAUGACUCUAACUGGAACUAUUAAAAAGUAAUAUUUGUUACUUAUGUUUUUUUUGAAAUUGAUAAAAACUAAAUUGUUAUAAAAAAUCCUUAAAUAUAAGAAAAUGACAUGAAAAUAGGUAAAGAUAUUAUUCUUUGUAAAUGGUGUAUAUAAAAAUUCAAAGUUAGUAAUUCUGUAAAUCCAUCACUUUAUUAUUUAUCAAGUCUCUAAAAUAUGUAAUUCAUUUUUAAAAAUUUUAGCAAUAUACAAAAUUAGGAGUUAUAUAUAAUGCUCCCUUUGUUCCUGUAUAAGAUUUUUAGGUUAAAACACGCAUAUUAAGAAAAUCAUUGUUUUGUCUAAAAAAUAUCAUUAAAACUAUAAAUUAAUGUUAAUCAACCAAUUACAAAAUAGAUUAUUAAAUAUAAUUGAUUACACAGUAUUUAAUAAAGUAAAAAAUUACCUACAAAAAUAAAAAUAUCUUAUAUAUUGGAACAACAAAAUUCUUUAAAACAUCGUACAUUUAGGAAUACAGGGAGUUUGACGUAGAAGUCUCGGACCAAAAUUCACAUUAAUUCGAAUGAUCUAUGAUGAACCAGAAAUUCUUGAUAUAAAGAUAUGUUCGGUGUUCGACCAAAAAGAUAAGUCAGUGACAAACCAUACGUUUAUUCAGUGUGACAAAACUCAACUUUGAUCCUCUAAUUUCAAGAUAAAUCUUUCAGCUGUUAGUUAAAAUUCAUCAUACUCUUUUUUUUCCUUUUCUAAAUAAAUCGCUUACGGUCUAAUCACUCGUGCAGCCUUAUCUAUUACAACUCAAUGGUGCUAUCAAAUAACAAUGUUUGUAACUAUCUUUGAAUUAUUCCUAGACCUUAAUGUAUUAAGCGGAGACACAUCGCCGGUGUGGGUCCCCGUUUAAUCGUCACUGCCGAAAAGACAAUAUUUAAGUUAAAAUAAAAGAAAGGAAAACAUGAAAGGCGCACGUGGCCACUAGAUUUUGCCCCCUGAAUCAUGAUUCUUCGAGUCACAUGAACAUCACAUUAACUCUUUAAGAGAGUUUAACCGUUUGUUUUAACGCCAUCUGAUUUCGCUUUAUCAAUAAAGUUUUUUUGGUGUAACGCUCUAUCAAUAGUUAUGGUUCUAUUCAUAAAGUAUCAUUAUAUUAGUUGGAGCAUAGAGAUAGAUGUUAUGUAAAGUAUCUAUAUUUGGCGCCGUCAUUGCACGAUGUAACGUAUCUUCUUAAUUUAUUAUGCAUCCAUUCUCUUGACAUUUAUAUAAUAUAUAUAUGUGGUGAUAACUGAUAAGUGAUAACCGCGGUUUGUCCCCAUUAACAGACGGCUAGCUAUUUUAAGUUUUCGGAGAUCAGCUGUACUGAUCACGUUAGACCAGUUGUAGGUUAGCCGGUAAAGUAUCUUUUUAGUUAUGUAUUUUUUAACUAUGUUGUUUACGAUCUUAAUAACCGGGUCACAUAAGAGUUAUCUUCUUGUGAUUAAAAUUUUGUAUGUACCAAGGCUUUUCUCGAGUGAGGACAUGACCUUUUGAUGUCAAAAAGAAACCUUCAAACUAAAAUUGUAAGAAAAAACUAUCAACCAACACACAGUAAUAAAAAUAUCGUCACAUUCAUUUUAGUACCCAAGAAAUUAUUUAACAUUAAAAGUUAUCAACAAAAGAUUUGUUAACAAAAUUAACUACAUAUUUCUUAGUAUAUUAAUCAUCAAAAUUGUAAACUAUAAUUCAUUGGAUGAAUGAUGUCGUGUUUGAAUCAUCGAAGUUUGGAAAAAGCGCGUUCAUUUACCAAGUGAAUUGUGGUCUGUAUUUUUCAAAUCAAAAUAUAAUGUUCAUAAAAUAGGAGAUGUUUGUAAACAUUAAAUUAACAAUACUUAUAGAUGAUUAACAUAUAAUGUUCUUAAUAUAUUAAUAUAUUCAUCUUUAAACCUUCAACCUAAAAUUGAAUGACCUUUUGAUGUCAAGAAAGACAUUCAACCUAAAAUUGUAAGAAAAAACUAUCGACCAACACUCACUCAGUAAUAAAAAUAUCUCACAUUCAUUUUAGUACACAAAUAAAUAUUUAACACUAAAAAUUCUCAACAAAAGAUUUGUUAACAAAAUUAACUAUAUAUUUCUUAUAUUAUAUCAUCAAAAUCGUAAACUAUAAUUCAUUGGAUGAAUGAUGUCGUGUGUGCAUCAUCGGAGUUUGGAAAAAGCGAGUGUAUCGUUGUAUGAAUUGUGCUCUGUAUUUUUCAAAUAAAAAUAUAAUGUUCUUAAAAUAUGAGAUUUUGUAAAUAUUGAAUUAAGAAUAUUGAUACAAGAUUAAUUUGUUGCAAAUUUUUAAUUGAGAUGUUUAUAUUACAAAUAUAGUUCAGAAAUUUUAAAUACUUUAAAUAAAUAAAUAUUGAGAAUUUGCAUCCAAUAACCAAACAAAAACCCAAAAUUAACUAACUAACCAAUUUUACACUCUCUCUUAUUUUCUCUUCCUAUCUCUCUCUACCCUCUCUCUACAAAACUAAUUUUCUUUUUUUUUUGGUUAUUUCACAAAUAACCCCUUAAAUAAAUAUUGAGAAUUUUUUUUUGUUAACAUUGUAUAGUUAAAGUGUUUUCCAUUAGAGUUUUAAUUGAAAAUUCUAAAAUAGAUUUGCUGAUGUUUUACUAUUUCUACUGGUAUCUGAUAUCGGGUCUUAUAUCUAUAACAUUUGUAACUUCUUCUUAUAAGUAACAUUUGCACUUAUUCAUUCAUAUAGUUAACUAAAAACGUAAUUCAAAGAAAAUUUGAAUCGUUUUUUCUCUCUUCUACCUUUAUAACUCAUCUGAAUUUCACUUGAAUUCAUAAUACGGAAAUACCCUAUGAUAACACUAAAAAAAAAUUAUGUUACAAAUAUAGACUCUAAAAAUUAAAAUGACCAAAAUGUUUUAUUAAAAAGGUAAAUAUACACUUAUACUCGUAGGGUUAACUAAUCCAAACCUUAGGAUUUAGAGUUAAUGGGUGGGGGAUUUGAGAUUAAAAUUUAAAAUUUAAAAUUUUAUAAAUUAAAAAAUAAAUAUUAAAAAUUUGAAAAUAAAAUUUUUAAAAAUAGUUUCAAAAAGUAUUUUCAAAUUACAAAAAGAAAAUUUGAAUUAAAAAAUAAAAAAAAUUCGAAAAAAAUAAAAAAAAAAUUUAAAAAAGUUGGAAUUUGAAAACAUAUAAUCUAUACUAUAUAAAAAAUAUUUUUUUUAUAUAUCUAGGGUAUCAAGAUCAUUUUACCUAUUAAAUGAAAUAUUUUGAUCAUUUUCCUCCUUGUGGUCUAUUUUUGUGAUCAAAUUUUGAAAAUUGUCUAUUUAGUAGAAUUGUCCUUCGUAAUAUAUAUGGUAUAGUUUUGCAAACUAGAAAAAGCGGAUCAAAAACUGUAUUACCUCACCAAACUUUUUGUUUAGAGUCUACAUGCAUUCUAUUUUAAAUUACAAUAUAUAUACAAAAGUUAGUUAUUUUUAUCAGAAGUUAAAAGGUGAUUAAAACUAAAUAAUGGAAUCUAGUACUAAGGUGCCUUCUUAGGUUUUGGAAGGACAAAUAAAGUUUUGAAGGGGCAUUGUCACUUUCAUGCAUAUGCUUUACUUUUCUUAAUCACAAAAAGUUAUUCUUAUCACAUUAAAAUUUACGGAUACUAAUGAUGGAAAUAAUAAAAAAAUAUCAUCAAGAAAAUGUAGCACUUUGAAUCAUAAAACAUACCUCAAAAGUGAGAUGGUAACCUAAGAUGUCAUAUGUGCACUGGAUGGACCUGAAUUAAAAUUUCACUCACACAAAUAUCAAUUUCUUUUCACCAGUAGCACUUUGAUCUUAGCUCAACAUUAAAUUUAAGUCUGGCACUUAUAUUAUGGCCUUGUAUAAUACACAAAUAAUUCUUUCAGUUUCCUAGUAGGAGCUAACGACUGAUGGUCAUACAUACAUACCAUAACAAAUAUAUUUGUCCACCAGUUCAUACAUUUUCUCGUUUUAUUAUAAAUAUAUAUAAAUGUUAUGUAUUUUAAAAUACUUUUUAAUUAACGAAAGCACACACUUAGAUCAGAGUUAUGUUAACUUGGUUUUAUGAAGGAUUUUACUGCAAAUAAUCUUUUGACAUGAAUUAAUCAAUCACUACGUCUACGUGACACUUGGUUGAAUCUUGAACUGGUCAAAAAUCGUAUUUAAUCUCACGGUUUGGUUCUCAAAAUAUAUAUAUAUAUAUAUAUCACGGCUGAAAGUGGAAACCCAAACCAAAGAGUGGAGAAGACUGAUCGUCACAACUCACAGGCUCGCAGCAAUAUUUCUGCUAGUUGAAAGUAAACAUAUGUGUUGUGGACUUCAUUUUUAUCUUUCUGCUAGUUGAAAGAAUUCAACUAUCAACAAUUCAUGUAGUAUUUUUUUUUUUUCAACAGCUUCAUUGGAAGCAUUCAACAGUUGAGAAAAUAAUAAUUCAAAAAGCUCUUUGUAAAUGCUGUAAGAGAAUAGUCAAAUAGAAUUUAAGGGUAUCAAAUUUACUGACUUGUAAUCUAGUCAUGCAGCUAUAUUGGCUUUUCUCCAGCACCAUCUUAAACUAUUUUAUGAUUGUUGACAUAAUUCUUCUCGGAUUAUUCUGUUGUGUUACAUUAAAAUAAUCCACACAUACUUUUGUCGCCGUUGGUUACUUUAUCUUUAUCAGUUAUAAAAUUAAUGUUUAUAACCGAAUAAAAGUACCCGCCUAAGAGGAGAGAGAUAGUAGAUCUAGGUUUCCGGCGAACGGCCGGCGCGUAUGCGCGCGUGCCGUCGCCGGAGACUCUCGUGUUGCCGUCCGCUCUUUUGUGUCCGUGUCUCUCCGUCGUCCUAUCCCGGCUUGCCUUGCCUGAGCUCUGGUUAUUUCCACGUCCGGUUGGCGCUAUCUCGUUAAGUGAAACGACAUCUACGGUGGUUGGAAGACUGGUGGGAAGGCGCGGUCGUCUGGAGGCGGAAGUCCUUUUCCGGGGGAUGAAGGCUACCAAAGCUCCAUCGUCGCCGGCUCAUGUCUCCGGGGGGUGGCUUGGCUUCUUCAGCAACGCCUCGUCGGUCUUGUCUCCGGGAGGCACAGGCUUCCAUAGCCUUGUGUCGUCGGAUCUAGUGGAAUUAAGUGGUGGUCCGCCCAAGGUUCGGGUCGGGAUGAAGGGUUUGUGUGUGGUUACUCGCGGCUCUCUGAAGACGGAGGAGAUCUCGAAGAAGAUCGAGGAUGCUCUCCGCGGAGAGGUAAGAAGGUUUGAAGGAAAGUGGUUUCGGUGGUGGCUCUAUGGUUCGAGCGUCGGCGAAACGAUGGUGACGACGCUCAAGAGAAAAAGAGCGGUGGUUCUCGGCUUGCCUGUCUAGGGUUUGAUGUGAUUCAAAGUCGGAGGAGAUCUCUUUGGUUAGAUGGAUCUCUCCGCCGUGAAGAUAGAGCGGUGAAGAACGGUGAGGUUUUCGUCGGAGGCUUGUCGGUAUUUGAGCUCCGGCGAAGAGAGGGUUGUCGGUGAAAAGUCCCGGCGGUCUUGGGUCUCGGUCGCGAUCAAGUCGAGGCGGGCGACGCGUGUCUCUCUGAUGUUCCAGAUCUCUACACGUGGCUCGAUCCCCUGCCUCCUUGUCUCGCGUAUCGGGCAAGCUGCCCGGUUUCCUUUAUGUGGGCCGUAGGCCUUUUUCAUGUCUUUUGGGCUUCGGCAGUAAAUCUUGUAACCCAUGUUUCCUUUGGGCUUUUUGUGUUAGGUUUUUUUUGUUUUGUGGGCUUGGCCCUGUUUUUAAUAAUAUAACAAUUUGGGAAAAAAAAAAAAACCGAAUAAAAGUGAAAGUGGAUAAACUUUGUUGGGACCUACUGAGCAUGUGAAUAUAAGUCGGUCCGACAUAAUAUUCCAUGUGGACAAUACGUAUAUUUGUCGACCUUUUGACCUUCAAUUAUUAUAGUAUAUCAUUUGUUUUACUUCAAAAUUAACUCUUUUUUUUUUGAAACUGUACUUCCAAAUUAACUUUUAUUUUUCCAUUUUAGUAAAAGGAAGUGAAAGCAUUUUUAUAUUUCCAUAAGUAAACUACAAGAAUGCAUAGAAACACCAAAAUUAGUUGGCAGAAAAGUUUCAUUAUUAGAAAUUCAAUCAGUACACCAACUGAGUCAGACUCGAUAAAUAUUCUUUUCGCAAAUAAACCCUUAGGUCCAUAGCUUAUAUUACAUUGAUGAAACAUGAAAAUAAAAGGUUACAACACCAUAUACAUGUUUUUUUUAACAACCAUAUACAUGUGUUGGACACGAACAGAGAUCAAAUGGGUUUUAGAUAAUUUGUCGGCCAAGUUAACUGAAAGAAAAAAUAAUACCUCCCACAUUUUGUCACUUGUAUUCUUUUUCGACGUGAUCCGGCAGAAUAAAUGUUUCUUAGUCACUCUUUUACAUGGCUUUUUGCUGUUCAACGUAUAGUCUCUAUUAUGAGAACUUACCAGCAAUUUCAGAUAUUCAUAGUCUCUAUUUUGCUGUUCAACGUAUAGUCUUUUUGCUGUUCCACGCAUAUGUGAGGAAAUCUACAACAAGAUAGUAAGAGAAGAACAUCAUCUUGCUUCUGCUCGAGCUCGUGAUCAACAAGAAACAGUUAGGUUUCUUGUUUGUCGUGAUAACCAAACAGUGUAUGUUGAGGGUACUCGUCAUUUACAACAAACUGUCUCUGAAACAACCAACAACUCAGAAACGCAACAUAGAACGGAGAACAUGAUUCUUAGGCGUUGUAUGCUCUGCUCUCACUCUGGAAGAAUAGGUCAUAUGAUAAGUGUAGCGUAAUAAACACUCAAUAUUUUUUUCUUUUCAAAAUAGCAUUACCUAAGGGUAACUUAAUUGAAUUAUAAACUUUAAGGUAAUAUUAUGUAUUCUUACACAGACGAUUAAAAAAUUAUUUUAAGUGUUUUUGAAUAAUUUCCAUUAAUUAUUUUCCGCGUAAACCGCGAUCCAUCGGGAAAUAGAAAAAAAAAUUGACUUCCGUUGGGAAUCUAUCAUGAACACGAAAAAGAUCUGAAAAGUGAAAUUUUCGACAGGGGAAUUUUUAAUACAUAUUUACCCCAAAAUUUUAUUAGUGUAUAUAUCUCUCUAAGAACAUGCAAAAUGCCUCUCUCUCUCUCUCUCUCUCUCUCUCUCUCUCUCUCUCUCUCUCUCUCUCUCUCUCUCUCUCUCUCUCUCUCUCUCUCUCUCUCUCUCUCUCCUUAAAUCAUUCCAAAUUAUGUAAAUUUCAUUUUAAUAGAGAUUGUUAGACAAAAACUUUGUUAGGUUGUUGGUUUAAGUGACUUGGAAGUUAGUUUUAAAGAUUUCAAAUUUAGAUUUAAGAUUGAAUCGUAGUUUAAGAUUUUUGUUGCUUGUGUUUGAUUUUGUUAGUUCUAAGAAAGAUAUUUAUUGUUAGUGUAAAUAUUUAUCAGUUAAAAUUUUUUUUUUGUUUAUCAAAUUUUAAAAAUGUUUUUCAAUAUAAACUUUUUGUAUAUUUUCUAUUAAUUAUGGUAUUUUUUAAAUUAUUUUUCCAAACGUUUUACUGUAUAUAAAUGUUAACUUUAUAACAAGAACUUAUUAUGUUAAAAAUGUUUAAAACUAUUUUUUAUAAUUUUCUACAAGUUAGUAAUAAUAUAUUAGAAACGUUUUUCCUUUUUAAGUAUAUUUUUAUAUUUUAAAAGAUUGAUUUUAUUGUUAAGUUUACCAGUUAGCAAUAGUAUAUUAAAAAAAAACAUUUUUCAAAUGUUCUUAACUUGCUUUUUAAUAUUUCAGUUAUUACAAUAUAUUUUUUAUACUUUCAAAUAUUUUUUAAAAAAUAUUUAAAAUAUUUUUACUUCUUACUAAAAACAGUUAAAAAAUUUCUUAUUAAAAGCAUAUUUAUAAUUUGUUAGUUUAGGAUUUUUUUAUAGAUUAAGAAUAUAGACUAUAAUUAUUUUGAAAUUUUUUUAUAUAAACUCUAUUUUCGGUAUAUUUUAUUAACAAUAUUACUAUUUUAUUUUAUUUUAAAUAAAUGGAAAAAUGUAUUUAUUUUUUGUGAAUUUUCAAAAUUUUCUACGAAAAAAUUCUCAGAAAUACUUCUGGCACACUAAAUUCAUUAGAAAUUUAUUUUAAAAAAAUUUAACGAAUUCCGGGCGAAAAAAAUUACUGACUGUAAUUGUUCGUCAGGAACCAUCAAAUUUUUUUUUUUGCAGAAUUCCCAACUAAUUUUUUUUUCGACGCCCUAAUCCUAAAAUGUUCUCCGUCGAAAACCGGCAGUUUCUUGUAAUAUCUGGACUAGUUGACAUUUAUUAUGUUAUCCUAGUGAACCUUAUGUCUAACAUUUAUUAGUUCUAUAUGUUAACCAUACCUAUAUCGGUACAUGUAAAGUAAAUUCCUAAUGGCCCUUGAAAUAUAGAUUCUCAUUCCUUUUAUUGUGUUACAUCAGUUGAAUAACCCAAAAAAUUAUCGUAAUUAGUGUCUUUUGCGUGUGCGUGCAUGAGUUUUAUAAUCCAAAAUUUUUGAGUCGGAUUUGGCUUUCAUUUUAUUGUGGAUCCCAUCGUGUUCUCUCCACUGACCCAACCUACUCAGUCCUUAACAUGUUCUCAUAUUUUGUGUCUCAUUAUCUAUAAAUAGAAAUAUCUCACUGCAACAAGUCAUCAUAUCUCUCUCAAGUCUCAACUUCAACUCAUUUUGCAAUUUCCCUCUUUCUCUUUCUCUUUCACAAUCUCUUACAAACCCCACAAGCUACCUUUCUUCUCCUUAAUCACCUGUUAUGGCGAAUUUAAUCCUUAAGCGAACUCUUAUCAUGCUCCUAAUCAUAUUUUCAUCACCAAUCUCUCAGGCUCGAAUCCUUCAGGCAGAUCGCGUCGCAAACAUGGGAAAUAUAGAUAGUCAGGUUCUCCUACGUGAGCUCGGGUUUGAUCUCUCCAAGUUCAAAGGUUAUAACGACGAGAGGAGGUUUUUAGUGGAUUCGGACAGGGUUUCACCGGGAGGACCGGACCCGCAACAUCACUGAAUGGCCGUUACGGAAAUGAUACUUUAACGGCGAUCCAAGCACAAAUAAUUGUGACUGGUCUAUGCAAGUCAUUGGAUAUCACUACUUAUAUGCUUUUUUUCUCUUUUUAACUUAAUAAAUCUUACGUACAGUUUUGUUGUAUCAAGGUAAUAGUAUUCUCGUACCUAGCUCCUUACAAUACAUCGAACUUUGUUUUCCUGUAUGUUUUCCUGUGUCUACAAUGAGUUACAUUUUAUGUAACUACAAUUGGCUUAUAAAGAAUGUUCCCCGGUCUUUUCUCGUUUGAGUUUUACUUUUUCAUUUAUAGGGAAAAACGAAAGGUAGAUGAGUUUUAGAAUAAUAAUGAUUGUAAUUAGCACUUCGAAAUGCGUAUGAUCAAAAUAAUACUUUUAAUGAUUUGAUGGUCAAACUAUUCAUUUAAAAAAAUAUAAUAUAUUAACAAAACUGCAAUAACCAGUGUAAGGAAAAUUUUUUAAGCUUACUCAAAUGAUAUUAUGUGAUAUUAAUGAUUCAAGAGAAACGCCAGAAAAUCAUGUAUUUAUUGAUUUAAUAGCAUACCUAAUGUAAAAUAUUAUAUUUUUUUUCUAAAAUAAAGUUAUAUGGAAACGGUUUUGCUCCAAAACCCUACUCUAUUUUGGAAUAGAAAAUAAAGUAACGAACAAACAAAAUGCAUAUUCUAUUUAUGUAGUAAACUUAUCUUUUAUUUCAUUAUGGAGUAGAAAGUAAAAUGCGGUAAAACAUUUUUUUUAUCACAAACACUAUUUAAAAAAAAAAUAUAAGAGCAUGUACAAUUUUUUCUAAAAAUAUAUAUAUAUAUAUAGUGAGACUGAAAAUGCUUUAAAUGGCUUUAUAAGAGCAUGUACUAUUUGUAUUACAUUAUUUUCAUCCUACUAUAUAAUGUCGAGCUUUGAGUUUUACAUGAUACUGGAUACAUUCCUUUAGCUAAUGUGAAAUUUAUUUGGUGAAUACAUAUUUUAAGGUUUCACAAAUGAAUGUUUGCGUAUAAGAAGUGCUGUCAUCAACUACAUAUUUCUAUUUGUAUAAAGUAACCGAUAAUAAACAAGACUAUUACAUUAUGGAAACAGUUUAGUGCACUCUUAAAAUAUAGAGUUUCGCCGACAUCAACUACAGUGUUGGAAAUUUGAGAGGUUCAAUUUUUUUAUUUUUUUUUUUUUUUUUGAGAGGUUCAAAUUGUAAGACUAUGAACUUAAUAAAUUGACAUAUGCUCUAACAAAAAUAUUAUUCUCGACGCGCGCAUAUAUGUAUUAUGUUGACUUCAUUUAAAAACGUACUUAUUUAUCAAUUGUUGAUAUAUAUUCUCGACUUGACAUCCUCGACUUGACAUUCUCAUAUCAGUCGAGGAACUUACUUUCACCCGUUGAAACCUUGGAAUAUUAAUGCUUCGUGACCUAUAUAUGACGACAAGUUUACAAUCUUUUAUGUUCGUUUGUUUUCCUUUUGCGACAACUGAGGACUUUUUUGCUGUCCACUUGCAAACUUCUUGCACAUAUUGUUGUACGGUGAUGGUAUCUUGAAUUGUUGUAUGCAGUCGGUGCAAAUACUGUCAGAUUUGUGAUAAGUGAGAGCUCCUCCUUUCUCUUUUGCUCUUUGAUUUUUAUAAUAUUUUUUGUUGUUGUUGUAUCGUACAUGAGAAUAUUACUGAUUAAAAAAAUGUUAUCCUCCCUUUCAGGUCUUAUGAAGCUAAACAGAGGCGUGAAGACAUGAAGACAUCCUGUUAAUUUCAAUGAUACACGUACAUUAUAAACCGAUGUCGAAAUAUAUUGAAAUAUAUUGAAAUUUUUUUGUAAUGCUCAGGUUUAAUUAUUAAAAUAUGAUAUUUUUACUAAUUAGAGUUACAUUUCUCAAAUAUAUUGUUUUAAAUAUAAACAAAAGUAGGUUAAAUUUAUAUUUUCACAUACACAACAAUUCUGAAAACUCAUUAAAAUUUGCUAAAAAUAAACGUAGUUAUUAUUAUAAAUUAGAGUUAUAAACCCGCGCUCAGUAUAUAUAUAUUUUUAAAUAUAAUCCAUUAGAGAUUCAAAGUAAUCCUUUGCUUUAUGAUCCAUUAAAUAUAAUCCUUAGGUUUAUGAUUCAUCAAAAAAAUUACACCAGUAUUAUAUAAUAUUAAACCUUUUCAGAUUAGAUGUCGUUCUAAUUUUUUCACAUUAAUUAAGAAAAAUGUUAAAUGUUCCGUUUAGUCGUUUACCCCUAUUUAGUUAUUUAAAAUUUAUUAAUUCUUUUCUACUAUUAUGUAAGGAUUAAACAAAAUUAACACAUAUUAAUUUGAAAGCAUACAACCUCACUCACACCACAUCUAAUUUUUCAUGCGGUUGACCUCUGGUAAUCAUUUCCUCGCACACAUCAUUUAGUAAAGCAAACAACACUUACACAUAUGAGUUCCAAAGCAAAUCUAACACACUACCAAUAAGAGCUAAACCAUAUUUUCCCCAAACAUCUUAACAACCAUAAACAUUAUUAUACAUUUUUUUUUCAUAUCCUAACAUAAAACACAUGCAAAGAAAACAUACAAUAAUAUAGACAUAUACAUCAUAUGUAAAUCAUAUCCCGCCCGUAGGGCGGGCCGAUCCUAGUGGUAAGUAAGAAAAAUUUAAGGUGAGUGUAUUGAAUAUAUUUAAAAAGUUGAUUUUUGAACUUAAACUUCAAAAAUGUGUUCUUAGUCUAGUGGUUCAUUUAGGAGGAAAAUAAUUUCAUGCAGACAAUCCGGGUUAUCCCCUUGAUACCGGCCACAUUUUUUUCUCAAAAAAAAAAAAGAUUUCUCAAAACUUCCAGCUAAUCUUAAUAUAUAUUUACACAUAAACAAACUUUCAGCUUACAUAAAAAAUAUAAUGGAUGUUAAACAUAUAUAUUAAAAUAGCAUAUUUUGUAUUUUAGAAAAUAAAAAUUUUAAAGAUUAUUAAACAAGAUAAUUUAGAAUAUGAAUAUUAAUAAUAACAGUUAAUCCUAAUAAUUUUAUUUUGUUGAAGAUAUUUGUCUAAUAAAUUCCUGAAAAAUUAACAUACGACAUAUACAAAAUUUACUUACAUAAUAUUAUAGAUUUUGUUUUAAAAGAAUGUUAAAUUUAUUCAAAUAAAAAAAGGCUUUUGUACAAACUAAUGCAACUAAGAUCUAGUUUGUGAAAUUUUUGAAGCCAAAAACAGCACUAAUGUCUAUUCUCUAGCUUCAAACCAAAAACCAUAAAAUUAUAGAUUUGUUUUGUUAUGCCAGCAUUUUAAAACGGGACAAUGAAACGGUUGUUAGACAUCUUAAGGUUUUAUGACAUAAUUGUUGAAGCUAUGUUUCACUAUUGGGAAAGCAUAUUAGAAAUUGUCGUUCUUUCAGAAAAUGGGCCUGCCUGAUACUUGCCAUUCUUUAUAUUGAGUGCAUCUGAAAAUAUGAAAUGGGCCUUGCUCACGUUGCUUCCAGGGCAACAUGAUUGUUUAUCCAAUUAGUAAACCUACUUCAAUAACCCACAAAAGUCCACAACAACGAUACUCACUAGCACAGUCUUGUUUAUUGUUAGAAUUUACUGUUCUAGCUCAGGCUGUGCUGCACAGCAUUGUGUUUGUGGAGACAUGGAUUUUUGAAUCUCCCCAAUAACCUCAUAAACACCCACCAAAACUUUGAAGGUUAUAAAUACGACUCUAUGGGGUUGUAAUUUAUUCACUCACACAAUGGCCAAUGCAUAUCCUUGUUACUUGUGCGUGACUAUACUAGUGGAGAUCGUAUUAGGGUUGAUCAAAGCUCCAAUUCAUGUUAUGGAGUGGUUCACAUCCACGAUACCUUGUUGAUCUUCUUCUUCCUCUUUUUCCAUGUACAUAAAUAAUCAUCUUCUCUCGAUUUGGUGCUUCAGACGUUAUUUGUUUGAGAAUACGUAACAUUCUCUUGUUCUUUUACUGCUUCAAAAGGAUUUUGUGAAUGUUAAUUAAACAUGUAUUAUAGAUAUAUUCAUAGUAAUUCGCAUUCGUCCUUUUCUUCUUCUUGAUCAUUCUUUGCCAUAUCUCCAUUAAGAAUCCAUGUCCCAUCAUUCGCUUGAACCAUACCUCUGUUCUCAAGAACCCACCAAUGCCCAGGCACUAAGUACUUAUCUUGAAGAGCAUCUAAUUCCUUGUUGACCAGCGCGAUAUCACGGUUAAUCUCCAGCUUGAACUCCGCUUGGUUGUGUUGUGUCCCCGCCACGCCGUGCAAGUAAGCCUCCAGGUUAUGGAAAUGUGCCAAGUUUAGAGACCGUUUCAAGUACUCUGAUUUCAACGUGUUGAUCUCAAGCUCCUCCCCUACAUCUGUGAACCUGAACACCGGGUAAUGCGGAAUGAGAUCCGGAACAUUUGUAAUUCUCAAGAUGUUGAGUUUUUUUAGAGACUCGACCAGUCUUCUGAAGUUAAGGUCACCGAUGCGGGGACUGCCGAAAGCAAAAACCGUGACACAAGAAAGCCUGUCUCCAAGACUUGUUGUGGUCUUAGGCCAUUCGUUAUGGAGAAAGUCUGUGGCUGAUAAAAUAGAUAGAACUGCGCCCAAGCUAUGGCCUGUAAAGGUGAUACUAAUCUCUUCAUGUUUGUACAAUUCUAGUAACCUUUUGAGCUCUCCUUGAACCUAAAAACCAAAAAAAAACAACCAACCAGUCGCAACAAUCCCAAAGUCUGAAUGUGAAGUUAGUAAGGGAAAAUGUUUUAUUGAGAGACACCUGUUCUUGUGCACUGGUCUUGUCAAAACGUGAGUGUGUAUUAGAGGUUGUGUAAAGAGACAGCCAACCAUUGGCAAUGCGAGGAGGGUCAUUUGGAUCAUUCGGGUCAGUAGGAGGGAAAACCGAGGUAGCUAAUUCAAGUGGAAAAUCAAAAUCGUUAGCCCAUUCGUACAACUGCAUAGUCCCUCGCCAUGCUACAACAAUGUCUCUUCUCCCUAACAACUCCUUGCCUUCGUCUGUAGACACCGCAGUGUAACCUAACCAGUUAGAAUCUUUGUUCCAUGCUUCCCUUGACAAUGAGUUGAUUAAGAAACAUUCCGGUAACCUUAUCGACGAUGUUCCAUAUAUGUACUUAGUCACCUCGUACCUGGAGAUACCAUUUUCUCACAUGUUUUAUAUAGUGGUGGGCACAGAAACUAAACCAAAAUUUCUCAAACUAAAACCAUAUUAUCAAAGCCUGUCAUAAGCAUAACAAAAUGAAACAUUAGUUUUUGAACAUCAUUAACGGGGAGUAUUAUAUAAUCAGGGCCGACUUAGUAGGAAUUAAGGGCGUAGAGUGCAACCAUCCUAGGAUCCACUCCAAAUCUAGUAAUAUUUGGGGUCUUGAUUCUUUACAUUAGCAUGUUUUGUAUAUAUUUGGAGAAUAUUAAAACAUGACAUUAUUAAUUGUAAGUUGAAAUAUCAAAUAGAAAUGUGUUUUUUACAGAUGCUUGAGUCAAAAAUCUCAAAAAACAUAAAUUAAAAACUAACUAUAGGGCUCUGAAAUAUUUUUUUUCCGAGGGAAGUGGAACUAUUGAGCCGGCCCUGCAUAUAAGUAGAUAUAUCGGCUACCUGAAAGGGUUGGCUUUGAGGUAGCCGGUACGAGCAAAGAGCUCUUCCUUAGUGUAGCAGCUGUCUCCUACAUAUUUGGACCGGCGGUCACUAUUAAAGGUAACGUAUCCGACCUCAGCCAUGUCUCCAUAGUGGAGGAUGUAACGGCGUAGAUCCAAGUCAAGAGGAUCAAGUAGGUCUUUCCAUUUGCUAUUGCCGCUCAAUUCCUUCCAUCUCUUAGCAAUAUCUCCCACCAUUUUCACUUUUAUUUUGAUCCAAACCGAACGUCCUCCUCUUCCUUUCUGUUGCCUUGUAGAAUUUGUUGGUGUUUUCAAAAUGUUUGGAUAGUUUAUGCGUGAAGUAUUGGUCCUUAAUACAUGCUCUUCACAUAAGUUUUGCCGGCCUUUUGUUAAAGAUUUUAAAGUAUGGACGUUAUAAUAGGUUGGAUGAGAUAUUAAUAUACAAAUUUGUGGAGAAAUUAAGCCCAAAAUGUAAUUAGUAUAAAUAUUAAUUACACUUAAAGAUAAAAAUCUGAAUCACAAUCACAAGAACUCCACAAAUUAUUUAUUGAAUUGUAUAAAAAUCAAUAUGUAGAACGAGAACUAUGAAGUAAGAGAUGCGUAGAGAAGUAAGUUCCAAGUGUCAGGGAGACCAGGGAGACACCAAUGGCUACAGUCUAGACCCUUUGCGAUACCAUUAUAGAGACUUGGGUGUGCGUCUUUGCGAUACUCCGAGAGAGUUGUGAGAUCAAGAAGACGGACCGGUUUCUUGAUUCGGCUCAACACUUUGUUCACCACAACCCAACCUAAGGGCAAUCCUCCUGGAUAUCUUUCUCCCAUGAACGGCUGAGUCUGGCCCUUGCACGACUGCGAUGGUUCGUUCCACUGCCUUCCACUGUUUUGAAACACAGUUAGUAUUUUGAAUUUAUGCUUUAAAAGUCAUCAGCUAUCAUUGCAAAACAUUUUUAUUAUUUUGAGUCUCAUCUAUGUAAGGUACCGUUAAUUUUAGAUGGAUGGAGAGAGAAAAGAAAACUUACUCGUAGUGAACAGGAGAAACACCUUGAAAGAAGACUUGAGUGCGUGAAGGGUUAAUGUUACCGUUAAUCCAUCGAGCCCAUGUGUUUAGUCCUUUGUAAAAAGCCACAAGCCUGUUCAUGUCUUUGUACAAGGUGUUUCCUUCCCUCAUAUAAUCCCACCUACCAACCAUUAUUGUACAUUUAACUAAUUAUAACAAGCAUCUUAUAAAACACUUGAAGAAUAUUGUCAAAAGAGAAAGAAAGAGAGAGGUUUUAAAGGGUCAAGUAAUGUGAACGUACGGCUGGAUUCCGUCAGUGUGAGUCCACCAGUGCCAUGAGUUAAAGAUCAGAACGUCCAUGCCAAGCCAAGCAUUGGCUUGUUUCAUGGAGUCAAGUACAAGCACUCGUCCUGCCUUUUCUUGAACCACAUCUACUAGAAACUGUGUUCUGUACAGAAGUAUUGUCACUCCAUAAUCCUGCCCAUUUUUUUCGUUUAAUCAGUUAGCGAUAAUACAAGACUGUUAGUAUUUGUAACAUCAAAUGAAGCUAUUAAUUUGUUCUAUGUUAAAAAGAUAUGGAAUUCUUGGACACUUGAUUUUAUCUACUUGUUAAAAGAUGUCAUUAUGUCAAAGAUCAAAUUUAUGUAACCGUUAUUAGUUUUACGCAAAUUGACCACCUGUAUACAUAUUUUCUUUGUAGAGACCAUUAUGCAGACGUAUGUUAGCUUAACUCUUUCUAUACCAUCAUUUAAAUUAAAUAUAGGUUUAUUUAAAUUAGGUAGCCAAACAAUCACUACUAUCAUGGGUUUUCUACCUUGCAAGAGCAUGUCAAACACGUAUAUAUUCAAAUAUUUGAGCGAGGCAUUCGUAGAAAAAAAAAGAUAGAACUUCGUAUUUGUAUCCUAACAUUGAUACUGAAAAAUGAAGAAAUACUACCAAUCAAAUUAUGUAAAAUUGAAAUAUCACUUCUUAAACAUGUAUAUUCUUAUAUUUUCUUGAAGUAAAAGAGAGAAAGACACGUAAACCUAAUGAAGAACUUCAGAAGAAGCUAGAGAUCGAAGUCAGACCCAACGCAGACAGACUUGUCACUGUUAGCUACUGUGUAGUCGUGUAGACAUGUAUAUGGAGAGAUCCCAAAAAACAAUUAAUAGUGCGUAAAAGUAAUUAAUUAAAUUCGUGAAGGCCCACUUACUAAUUUAUUAUACACUGUGUGAUUAGAAAACGACAAUGAAGAAAGAAGACUUUGACCUAAAGUGGUUAUCAAAAUCAUAUUGUACAUGGUGUCUUAAUGAAACAAUCUGUCGUUUGUGUUUGGUUCUACAUCUAUUAGAUGUUUCUUUAAAGAUUGGUUAAUAACUACGUACGACUUAUGUCAGAAUGGUCCAUAUUUCAAUUCUCGUAACCUAUACUUGUCUUGACCACAAAUAUAUUAUCCUUACAAUUUGCAAGAAUAAUGAAACUAUACAGGAUUAUCUUAAGCAACCAAUUGCUUAAAAAUAAAAGAUGAGAGUUUGAGAAGAUAUAUUAUAGAUGGUGACGAUGCAAAAAAAAAAAAAAAAAAAAAAAAAAAAAAAAAAAAAAACAUUAAUGUAAAAUAUGUCAUUAAUUAAUCUCUUUAUUUCCAAAUUUUUAGUAUUACAUGACAAGUGUCUGUCGAAUCCCAAACUUAAAGGAAACUAAUAUAGUUACGUAACUGAUCUCAUUUGACAUCGCACUAUAUAUCAUGCACGACUUGUUCUUUUUUUUUUCUUUCACGUUCACGUUCUCGGAAAUAACUGAAUGUCGAGAAAAUUAAUAUUUACAGGUUUCAUAUUGGAGUUUAAUCACCAAAAUCAUUUGUGGACAAUUUAAAUAAUUAUCCCAAUAAUUAGGUCUUACAAAACAAAGUAUCUCCAAAUGUUAGCAAAAAAAAAAACAAAGUAUCAAUGUCUGAUAGUUAUUAUUUUUUGGGAAUAUAUAUCAACUGUAGAAAAGUUUAGUCAAGUUGGUAUAUGGUUUACUACUUUUCUAUGUGUUUCGUUGGUACUGAAUUGAUGUUUAAGAUUAAUCGAUGAACAUUUCCAUAAAAGUACAAUUUUAAGUUUUUAACCUAAAAAUUAAUGAAUAAUUUAGAUUAAUAUAAUCAAUUAUAAGAUAUUCUGCACAGUAUUAAAAAAAAAACUCCUCCCUAAAAUAUCAGAUGAGACUUCAGAACUCAAAAUAACCCUUUCUAUCAUUGACUUUAGUCAAUAAUUUUAUGUAAAAAAUAACUAUGCAUUGUUGUCAUCAAUUCACUUAUAGAAAAGUAACAAAUAUUUCUGACUAGGUUGAGGGUAAAACACCAGAAAAUUAAAGCAGGACAUUUGUCGAUGACUGUUAUAUCAACAACUAUUUUCCUACAAAUGAAUAAUUUAAGUAGGGUUAUACUUUCUAGUGGUGUUAGGUGUACAUGAUAAAGCUAAGGAUCUUUUGUAAAUCAAGAAAGAAUGACCAAAAAUAUCAAAGAAUCUUCAGUAGCUCAAUAAAACGUUUACUUUAAAGUGAAGUUAUUGAGAUGUGAAUAGGUAACAAAAUAAGAGAAUAAGAAAACGAAUAAAUAAAUCAAAACCUGGAAAGUGAGUGAAGUGAGAGGCUGGCUUCGACUGAGAGAGUACUUAGCAUUAGGAAGAGAUGCAUGAAUCAAACAUGCCAACGAUUCAAACAUGUUGAGACUCAGUGAGUCACCAACCAUCAUUAUCUUCUUCCCUCUCAUUCUCCUCAUAAAGUUCACCCCAUCGAAUCUGUAAAUUCAUUUGAUUCCUAAUGUAUUUGUUAAUUUCUCAAGAUAAACUAGUGUCGUAUAAACUUUAAAAAUACAUUUUGCUUAGGAAAAUACAAGAUAUUAUAGUUUUCUGUAUAUCAAUUUUCACUAUACUUAGUCAAAACAAAACAAAAUUUUCACUAUACACAUAUUUUGUAGCUACUACUAAUUUCACAUAAGAAACUUUUUGGGACAUGAUAGACUUAUUUUAUGCAACAUGAGUUUUUUUUUCCUUUUCAAAUGAAUACAUACUCUUUGCCUCUUAAACAAAACUUGUUAAUUUGUCAAUUGUGAAACACCAGUAAACGUUUGUGUUUACAUAUUGCAAAAGUAUUUUAUAGAACAAAACAAAAAGAAGUUUUAUAUUUUAAAAGCAAACACAAAAGCUAGCCUUUUAACACAUGUGAAACUACUGUACCUGGGAAGAGAACAUGAGAAAGGUUGCCAUCGGAAGUGUUGAUAGUUAGUGUCUGGUCGACCCGUUUUCUGGCAAUUGAAUUCAGGGUUGAUGAAGGGACAAGAAAAAGGACUAUAGAGAGGAUAUGAAGAAUCAUAGACCCAUUUGCCUCUAAACCAAUUGCAUGAUCUCUCUUCUCCCAAUAAGCUUGUGUUGUUUUGUCCCAAAAAAUGUUGUUGAGAUUGUGAUAAUAGCUCAGGGAGUGAAGAGAGGAGUAUGAGAAACAGAGAGGCUAAGAUGGGUUGGAAGCAGAGUCCCAUUCUCUUUUGCGGUCGCCAAGAAAGAAUGAGCAACUUAUUCUUCAAGCCUCAAGCUUUAUAUAGAUAAAAUAAAAGUAUUUAUCUCUACAAUUAUUUUCUUGUUUACCUUUCUUGUUUAAUUUUGUGUACAUAAACAUAUAUAUUUCAGUCGUAGACAAUCAUUAGGCUUAAGAUAUACUUUAAGACCUAAUAAAGAUCGCUUGAAAUUAAAUCCAACCAGUAUAGAAGCUGAACCAGACUUUUUGUAAAGCCAGUAGUCAACAUAUGACAAACAGAAUUAAACCAAAUCGCAUUUUCUCAGACGAUAGUUUUGACAAUAAUUAAAUUAUAAUUAAAAUAAUAAAUUUAAAUAGAAUAAUAGUAAACACUAACGCCUGAAAAGUAAUAUAUAUUUAGCAAGUAUAAAAAUAUUUUUUAGCAAGAAAACAAGUAUAAAAUAGUCAAAAAUAAUAAAAGUUUUAAAAUAAUAAAAAUAAGAACACCAUANNNNNNNNNNNNNNNNNNNNNNNNNNNNNNNNNNNNNNNNNNNNNNNNNNNNNNNNNNNNNNNNNNNNAAGAACACCAUAAUUGAUAAGAAACACGUAAAUGUUUUUACUAUAAAAAUAAUAUUUUUUAGAAUUUAAUUUUAUAUUAUACCAAUAAUAAAAAAACAUUAAUGCAUAACAAAUUACUCAAAUAAUUUAAAACUGUAGUUUUUAUUUGAAAUACUCAUCUCAUUUUUAGUUUUCUUAAUAAUGAGAACUUUAUUGAGAAAGGUUAAUGCGGAUGCUCUUAUUGUCACCAGACUCACUACAGAGACCCGUAUCGGUUGUUGGAAAAAGUUUAGUUUUCUAUCGAGGGAUUCGUUAUUUCACAUCAAUCAUGUUUCACAUUUUCUUAAACGUUUAAAAAUCUAUUUAACGGUAUAUAUUUAAUCUGCGCAGCCAUUGGUGAACAUGCAUGUUGUUGAAAAUGAAAAGACAAGGAUGAUGUAUAUAUGUAGUUGCAAUUGCACAUGCUAUGAUGGGUUUUAGGGUGCCUUGCUUUGCCAACUCGACCACCACUUACUCUCAAAACUUAAUCAACUUUUCAUAUUUAUUUCUUUAUAACUAAGCUUUAUUUAUCUGAUGAUUUACGUAAUUCAUUGGAGCUAACUGUUUCAAUUUUUGACUAGUUAUACAAAUAAAAGUAGAAAUAAAGGAACAAACAUGCCUAUUUUUGUAAGCAUCAAUUCCAUAAUGACUCACCUAAACUAAUUCAAAGUGUUAAUGAUUAUACCUUCAUUAGCAAGCUGUGAUUAACACAAGAAACUCCCAAAAAAAGCAAUUAUUCAUUCAUCAACAAGUUCAAUAAUUACUUCAACCGCCAAGUUAUUAGUUUUCAUAAAUAUUAAAAAAAAAUGCUUCUGUUUCUUGCCAACCUAUAAAAAACAAGAUACCCAAUAUGUAAAUAAAUAAUACAUUAGCACAACAAGUCUAGGCUGACGAUACUUUUAGGAGCUUGCCGGAUUCUGAACUCUUACAAAAUAAUUUAAGAAAGUGACUAUAGUUUCCUGUUUGAGGAGAUAUACGGCUGAGAUUGUCCCAAACAUUUUGGAUUACAAUUAAAAAAACAUCAAAAUAAAAUUUUAGGAAAUGAAGUGGAGUGGUCCUUCUUAUGGAACAAAUUGGAAAUAUAAAAUAGACCAAACAAGCAAACAAUUAUUACACAACCACCAUGGGAAAGAAUUUCUCCCACAAACAUGUGUACUUGAAAUCAUACAAAGUUUUGUCCAAAGAAAAAAAAAAUCAUACAAAGUUAAAAACAUCUUAUGUAGAUAAGAGCCCUAUUGAUUAUGUAACCAGAGGAAGCUUUUAGGCUCAUGCUUCUUAUGUUUGCUUACACAUUCUUUAAUUAUAAAGAGAGUUCCUCCUACAAACAUUUGCACUUGAAAUCAUACACAGAAAGUUAAUAACAAUCUUAUAAAGAUAAGAGCCUUUUUUUUUUUUUUUUUUUGUCACAGAAAGAUAAGAGCCUUAUUCAUUAUGAAACCAGAGGAAGCUUUUAAGUUGCUUCUUAUGUUUUACUUAUGUACAUUCUUUAUUUACAAAGAGAUGGUGCUUAAUUACGUAUAUUAUAUGUGUAACAUUUUAUAGAAGCUCCCAUUCAGAUUCUUCUGCUGAUUGGUUUUCCUCAAUCCGUUCCGGAUUGUCACCACAUUCUCUACCAUUUACAACAUCUUCAGCGUAGCAUUGUUGCGCAAGUCGCUUGUAUUCUUUUUCUCUGUUUUGCUUCAUUCUUGAAAAUAUAGCGUCUCGGAUCUUCUGUAGGACCAGUUUGUCAUAAGGGUGUUGUUAAUUUCAGCAUAGUGAUAAAUGCAAAUAAGAAACAAAGAAAAGGGAGUGAAAGAGACAAAGAACCUUGUAAGGUUUGUGUUUGUCAUUCUCCUUCCUGUCAGGAAAAACACAAUGCAAUUCGUCUCUAUCCACAAUGAUACAGCUUUCUUCAACUGAUCUUCCACUAAGCUGUUCUGGGACAGAACUCGAACUAGUUUGCAUCGAAUCCUCCUCUUUAGAGUUGAGUGUUGCUACUUCACCUCGAGGAGAAUCACUUGACUUUACAGUUCCAACAUCAUUUCUGAGACGAGUAUUAUGAACCGUUGAUGGACUAGUCGAGUCUGCAUCAAGACCACGCAAUUUCAUUUCACAUCCACUCUUUUCCCCCUCAGUUACCUCUUGUUCUUGCUUCACAUCUCUGUUUUUCCCGCUGAAGCUUUCUCUUUUCUUCUUGAAGGAACAAACAGGAGCGUAUUCAUGUAACAUAGAAACAGGUAAUGGCUUUUCCGAAACUACGGAGUCAUCUGGAAGCAGAUCUUGAACCACAUCCGAAUAGAAUUGCUUCAUAGAGUUUCCAACAGUUUGAACUUGGCUCUCAACGUAUUUAGCUGUGUCCUACAAAAAAACACAUCAAGAAGCAAAGCAAAGAGUUAAAGAAAAGAUAUACAAUUGCUUAUACAAUUAUAGAGCACUUUACCUGGACAAUAAGAUCUUCAAGCUCUAAGCACAUUGCUUCAAACCUUUGGUAGACGUUUUCAACCCAUGCUGUACCUUUAAAAUUCAUUGUUCUCUCAAUUCAAGAACGUUCUUGUUUGCUUUCUGUCCCAGGAAAGAGUUCCAACGAAAAGAAAAUUCAGAGAGACAACAAGAAAAAAAGAUCUUACCACAUCAAAUCUUUAGGUAGAGAAACAGGUUUGAAAGACAACAGAAACAUGUAUAUGUAAGAAUUAUAAAAUAUUCCUUUGGUACAUUAUCUCAGAAGAAGAGAACAAGGCUAAUGAAUGCAACUUGUAAGCAAAGCCUUCUCUGCAUAGGUGUUUCCAGUAAAUGAAUGAUUACCCCCAAAUCCUAGGAGCAUUUUAGAAGCUUUGUUCCUUGUUAAACAAAAGAUCUGUGUGGCUACAGAAACAAGCUAUCUUUCUGUAUCCACAUGUUCUUCUAUAUUUCACUAAUAAGUAAACAAAACCAUGUCUUUAAUCACCAGAAAUAGAAAGUUCAAACUUGUCAAUGAUCAUGUGGACAUAUAAGCUCAAGAGAGACUACUACUUUAUUUUUAUUUUUUAUCAGGAGCUUUCUUGUAAAACAGAAAAAUCUUUGUGACUGUAGAAACAAGCUAUCCCUCUGUACUGUAUCCACAUGUUUCCUUUAUUUAAUCACCGGAAAAUUUGUAAAAGCCAGAAAUAGAAAGUUCAACGCCAAAGUUACCAUGUGACAAAAUCUCAAGAGAGACUACUUUUUUUUUAUUCAGGAAACGUAAACUCAAGGUUAUCUAGAUCAUAAAACUAACACAGCUCAUUGCUUCAUAACGAUCAUCAACUAGGUCUUCAAUUAAUUAGCAAAAGAACUGAACAUGUAUACGGAAGAGUUAAGGUUGGAGCAAGAGAAGCAUACCUUCGUGAACUUGGCAACCUAAAACGUGUUAAAAAGAGAAAUUCGCGACGAAGAAGAAAUCACGUGAAGAAGAAGAAGAACACUAAAACCUGGAAUCAAUCAGAAACUGAAAACUAAACACAGAGAAGAAUAAUGUUAAGGAUAAGAGAGCGAGAGACGGAUCAUUAACCUCAAAGCUACGUAUACCUACAAGGGAUCAAAUCCAAUUCUGUUUUCUCACUCGAUUGAGAGAUUUUGUCAUAUUAUAGCGAUAACGCAAGCAAUGUCCAAAACUCAAAAACUUUUAUCACAGGAACUCCCGUUCCCGGUUUGGUUUUUUUUUUUGUUGGGCCCAGAGACUGCGUUGACAAUUAAUUAUUUUUACAAAAAUUAUAAGGGAAACAGUGAAACAUCUGUUUUUUUUUUCUAUCUCAACACUUGAGCACGCAGGUUGGGAUAGUAACCAGCAGAAAAGUUGGUUCAAAAAGAAAAAAAAAAACAGCAGAAAAGUAAGUGAAAAGUUUUCAACCUGAUUAGUUGAAUAUUGGCUGAAGCAAGAGUAAAUAUGUUUUCCACCAAAUAUAUAUCACCAUCCAUUUGUGACGUUCAAUCAAAGCCUUCCGGUUUGGGUGGGGAGGGGGUUUGGCCAACCCGGUUUAGGGAGUUUUUAGUUUCAGAAUUUCUAAACUAGAAAAGAUAUCUUUGAUUUAGGGGUGAAAAGUGGUUUAGAAAUAUAAAGAGGUUUCAGUUUAAGUGAAAUUCUUUUCUUUUCUUUUUUUUCUGACAGGCGACAAGUAUCAAAUAUCAUAUAGAUCAUGGCACUAAAUGAUGAAAUACAUAAAUUCGUUAGGGAUCCUAACCGGUUUGAUUAAUGGGCCGUCUUGCACAGAUCGUACUUCCUAGGGACUAAUUAAUAAUUUAGUAAAACAUAGCGCGAAUACCUGCAAUAGAUAAAAAAACCUAGGGAUCAUUUUGAAAUUAUUCUUUAAAAUAUUUUGGGUUCAGAUUUCGUUUCAACGCAUCCUAAAAAACUUUAUUUUUUUAUGAAAACGGCAGUCACAGCCUCGUAGGGUUAUUGCUGUUCGUCCUCCUCCUAUCGACUGCGGCGGCGACGAGGCCGAGAAAACCGACACUGCGGCGGAGAAGCCAUCUUUCAAAACCCUUACAUUUCAAUUUUGAUUUACCAAGUGUCGGUGAUGGCCUCAAUCUCGACAUGGUUCAGAUACAUGGCACACAAGCUCGAAUACUCCCUCACCCUCAGUCUCAAGGUUCCUCUCUCUCUCUCUCUCUCUCACUCAUUCUCUGCGUUUCACUUCCAAUUUUUGAUGAAAAAGGUAGAGACUUUUGAUUCUUGAAUGCCUCGUAUGGAUCCAAACCAAAGUUUACCUCUUUUGUCUGAAGCCGACAACUUUAACUCUCAAGACAAUACAAUAUAUGCUUCAUGUAGUGUUUUUUUUUUAACUCUUCCAAGUUACAUUUGCAGAGUCAUAGGAGAGAAAAACUGAGUGACAGAGAACUCAUUCAAAUCAUCUUCAAGAAUCUAUUCCAUGGGAAGAUAACCUACUUACACUCUGGCAAAGGAGUAGAGAUGUCCCCAACCAUGGCUGCACACGAGAACACUCUUCUUGUCCGUAAGAUACCAAUUGCUAACACCAGGUAAUGUAUGUUCGUUCAUACAUAACCUUUUUUCUUUGUGGCUCUUCAUCUAAUUACCAAUAUACACAGUCUCACUUGUACAAAGGUUUCUUCUUUACAAUUGAAUUUAUGUGCUUAGGUAUCUGUUCGUUGGAGAUGCUGUGGUCUUAAAGGACCCAAACGAUUCAGACAAGUAUCUGGUGAGAAGAUUAGCAGCUGUAGAAGGAUUCGAAAUGGUAUCAGGUGAUGCAAAGGAGGAACCUUUUGUCCUCGAGAAGGAUCAGUGUUGGGUAGUUGCUGAAAACAAGGAUAUCAAACCUAAGGUACUUACAUCACUUUCCUCUUUUCCAAAGCUAGCACCAAAGUAAAGUCUAUAUUCGUGUUGACUUGGGUGUGGGUUUUGAGCAGGAAGCAUACGAUAGUCGAACAUUUGGUCCAGUUUCAACUGCAGACAUUGUUGGAAGAGCUAUAUAUUGUCUGAGAACAGCUGUGGAUCAUGGUCCCGUUCGAAACAGGUAACGAAGAGACUUAAGUCUUUCUUGUCUCUUAAUAAACAUUUUAAUUAUAGCUUUUCUGGUUUGUUUACUCUUAAAAAAUGGUUUGAAUCAGUCACACUGCGAUGGGACAAGAUUCUCCAAUCCUGGCAGUAGAAUUGGACGUGGACGAGAUGGCUAAAAACCACAAGGCACAAUAAAGAGAGAGAGUGACACUUUCUUGUUUUUUCUUUUUUGUGUCAAAGCUUACAUUGCGUUAUUUGUUUGAGAUAUGAGUAAACGAAUAAACCAUACAAUGAUGAUGAUGAAUCAGAAAAUUUCACGUUCCAGAACAAUAUGUUACUUGUGGCACAUAUGUGGUAUCGUUCUAUGGAAAGAAAAAAAUUAUCAUCUGUUGUUUAAUUCUUGGGAAUAAAAAAGAUCUUUGCUUUUACACACAGCGUAAAAGUACAAGGCAUUGAAAUCUAAGUUGAAUUGUUAUGGAGAAGGCGAUUUUCUUCUCCCAAUCGCCCAAACAAUAAUUCUAAUCAACUUGUGAUCUCUUUGGUUAUGUUCACUGGAGAUGAUAUCCAUAUAAUUAUUGAAAAUUGUUUUUUCAACUUUUUUACGGUUAAAUCAAUAUAUUGAUUAUGUACUUCAAUAUAUAUAUAAAAAUUGAAAUGAAACCAUUUUAAUAUAACAAAGAGAAUUGGUGUUCAUAAUGCGACAAAAAAUUGAAAAUCACGAAAAAAAAUCAAUAGAUAUUUGAUAUUAUAUUUAAUAAAAACUUCUCAAAUAGAAAAUCUUGAAGAUAACCAAAAAAAAGAUAAGACUUAAGAGAGUCAUAUAAUUGGUUUCUAUAGUCAGCUCAGAAUCAUUCCUAGCUGAAUAUACAACCGGUUGACCACAAAUCAGAGACACUAUGUUGCGAGCCAAAUCUUAAUGUCCCCCGCUUGGGUCACAAGCUCUUGCUACGAAGCUCGACACCUAAAGUACGUUUCUUUGCUCUAUGCCAACAAUUGAAGAACCGCCGAUGUAGGAGGAAAUAAAGUUUAUGAACUACUUUUUUUAUAUGGGCUGAAUCCUCAUUUUAAGGCCCAAAUUUAGAAAAUAAUAAGUAAUAGAGGCCCAUGAGACUAAAAAGAGCUGUAAACAUCGCCGAGGAAGAGAUUUCAGAAAAGCAAAUGCAACAGGAAGAAGAAGAAGAAGAAGAAGAAGAAGCUAAACCUCUCUCUUUCUCUGUUCAUGGCGCUUUCAUCAGGAACUUUGCAGAUUACUUCUAAUUACAUUCCUGGUAUGUUCAGAUACUUCUCUCUUUGUCGAAGUUGCGUUAUAAGUAUAUCUUUGCUCUUCUUCUUCGUCUUUCUCGGAUAGUUUUGUUUCGUAAGUGGGUUUAUGCUUAUUUCACCGGAACUAGAAUCGUUCUGGAGAAAAGUUCUGUUCUUGGAAUUAAAAUUCGAAUAGUUGUUUCUGGAUAAGCUUUUUUUUUAUGUCGACCACUUGUUCGAUGAAAUGACUGUGUGAUAUUGCAUUUGUUAUCAAGUUCAGUUCAGAAAUAAAGAAGUAUUGCGUUUCUUUAUAGAGUUCUCUGAUGAAUCAAUGUGUUGUUGUAAAAAUAAUGGAUUAUACUCUCCUUACUUUGUAUAUUGUUGGCUUUUGGUAAACACAGGUUAUGGAGUUUCAGACAGCAGGAGCUUCUCUAACUCUGUUGUGUCUAGAAGAGCACUUGCUGUAUCACCUUUCUCUUCCUGUCUUGUUCACAUCCAGAAUGGACGAUAUGCCCCUAAGAUGAUUUCAUUUGUGUGCCGAGCAAGUUCUUCUGGCCAUAGGAGAAACAAUCCUGAUUUCUCAAGAAACAAUAGGAAUGGUUUCAGAGGUAAUAGGAACAGGCGGAACGAAGAUAGAGACGGUUUAGACGGUGGUGGUGGUCUUGAAGACUCUGAGAUGUUGUCUUCCAGGAACGGUCCUGUGUUCUCUCUGUCCAGUUCCCCGAAGUUCCAGGCUACUUCAUCACCUGGACCAAGAGAGAAAGAGAUAGUGGAUCUUUUCAGGAAAGUCCAAGCUCAGCUCCGAGCUCGAGCUGCUGCUAAGAAAGAAGAUAAGAAGACUGAAGAGGCUUCUAAAGGGCAAGGAGGAAAAGAGACUGAGACUGUGGACUCUCUUCUUAAGUUACUGAGGAAGCACUCAGGAGAACAGAGCAAGAAGAACGUUAGCAACUUUGAUUCUGAAAAGCAGCUACAAGUAGAUGAUGAUGAUGAUGAUGAUGCUGAAAGACAGGUUCACAGUUCCAAUAAUUUUGAUUCGCGAAACAGGGAUCAUAAUGCAACACGUUUUACCAGGCCAGCCUCAAGCUUCAGACGCAAUUCGCCUGUACCCAGACAUAAACCUCAGUCCAGUUACUCUAGUGAGGCCAUUUUUGAUGAGGCGUCAAGUUACAGUGUGACUUGGACUCAGAAAAAGGAUCAAGUAGUAGAACCUGAGCCUGAAUAUGAACCAGGACUUGCCCUUCUGGAAUCAGAGCCAGAGCUAAAACCAGAGUCAUUUUACGAUGAGGAGGAUGAAGAUCACGAUGUCCUUGUAGAUGAAUUAUCAAAUGAUGAUGAUGAGUCUGUCAAUGCCGAGGAAGAAACUGAGAAAAAUGAAGACUUGAGUGCACUGAAGUUGAUAGAACUCAGAGCUAUAGCAAAAUCAAGGGGUCUUAAAGGGAUUUCAAAGAUGAAGAAAGCGGAGCUGUUGAAUUUGCUGUGUAGUAAUAAAGCAUGAUGAUAGCUAUGAACAAGAACAUUGUUUUAGUUUCUGAUACAGCCAAUGAAUCUCCAAAUAUUUGUUUCAUUCAUAAUUUUAGUGCAUUCUGAUUAAAAUUAGUUUUUUUCUCUAUUAGUUAAAGAGUUUUCCCUUUGGCUUCCAACAGCAAAGUUGUAAUGUCCUUUGCGAGUUAUGAAAUUGAAGUCACUUUCUUCAGUAUACAACACUGCUGUAUACUGGGAAAAUGAAACUAGGUAUGCAGACAAGUAUGCUGGAUUCAAACUAGAUAUGAAGACAAGAGAUGGUUUUGUGUGCGAUUCACACUUAUGGGUGUGGUUCUUCAAAAGAAGAUUUCAUAGUUAAUGUCUCUGUUUCCUUGUUCAAAUUGGAGCUUAAACUUUCUUGGCAAACAGAUGACCACUUUCGACCGUCUUUGAAGUGUGGGCAUCAGUGUCCAGUCUGUUUUUUUUUUUAUACAAAUAUUUAGAACAUUGUAACAUCAAUAAAAUAAAUCAUAAACGGUUAAGCAAGGAACCAAGCAGACGAGAGUGCUGGUGGUCGAUACUCUUGGAUGUGAACGAUUCAAAUAAAGGAAGUGCAUAAAUCAAGUGUCCCAUUAUUCGGAGGGAAAGAAAACAAGUACAAGUACAAGUCUCUCAGAGACAUUCUCAAUGGCAUAAAUGAAAUAGCAUUAUUCUGAGGGAAACACAAAAGCAAGAAAGAAAAAAAAAGAAGCUCAAGUCUUUCAAAGACAUGAGAUGAGACUACGAUUUGAUUACUAAACCUAUAUAGCUUAUUCAAUUGCAAAUAUUAAGUGCCAUUAUUCUGAGUAAAGACAAAAAAAGAAAAAAAGAUUUUACAAAUAUUACAAUGUCAUGAGAGUUUCCACAUGAUUGGAAUAAGUAGAGGCGAUCCAGAGAGGUUUGUCCCCCCCCAAACCAUUCUGGCGCCUGUAUUGGUCAUCCACAACUCCAUCAACCACGCUUCUUCUAUAAUAUGGAAUGGAUUCGCCAAAGCUAUACAUACAUGAUACAUGGGAUGAGAACUGACUUGAUAUGCCUAAAUUGAACCCGAAAAAUAAGAGGAACUGACCCGAGUUAUACGAAUUUUACCCAAAAAUAUUUUUAAAAUACCCAGAACCAUUAAGACCCAAAAAUUUCGGUUUUUGAUGGGUAUUAGAAAAGAUGACCCAAACUUACACGGACUUGACAUGAUCUGACCCAAACCCAAACCAAAAAAAUUUAAGUAUUUAGUUUAAAUAUUUAAGAACGGAUGGAACAGGACCCAACAAGAUCCGACUUGAGGACCCGAAUGUCCGUGAUGAGUUUAUAUAUUUUUUAGACAACAAAUGUAGAAUUGUGGUUUUGUUAGAAAUAUAUAAAAUCAAGGAAAUAAAAUAAAAUAUAUAGUUUAGAGUAAUGACUUGAUUUACUACAUAAUUGAUUCAGAUAUUUAACUUGGUUAACUUUGGUUUAUAUUUUUAUUAGAAUUUUUUUUGUUGAUUUGGUUCUAGAUACCCAAUUAUUUAUACCCAAUUAUUUUAUCAAUUUAAACCAUGGUUUGGAUUCAGAUAUUUAACUUGUUUAAAUUUUGUAUAUAAUUUUGUUAUAAUUUGGAUGAAGAAAACUCAUUAUACAUCAACUUAUUUAUACCCAAUUUUUUUUAUCAAUUAAAAUGGAUUGAGUUUAUCCUUCUUAACAUCAGAAAUUGUAUCUUUAGUUACAAAGGUAAAAAUGUCUUAAGUACCAACAAGAAAGACACCAAUCUUUAGGUAAAAAAAACAUAAGUUCUGACAGAUAUUGAUCAAUCUCGAGAUGACUCCUCACACACUCUUUAGGUGCACUUCUUUAUCCGCUUCAUGCGGAUUUCAUCCGAUGGUUUGACCAAAGAGACUGCCGAGCCGCGACAGACCCGGUCAGAGCGGUNNNNNNNNNNNNNNNNNNNNNNNNNNNNNNNNNNNNNNNNNNNNNNNNNNNNNNNCGGUUCUUGGAGAAUAUAAAUUUAACAUUUUAUUUGUCUUUCUUCAGGCCGGCUCUAUGCACAUUCACAAUUUUCAAAAUCAAAACUUAUCCAGAUUUUUUUUUUGUCAGCAUUUAUCCAGAUUUAAAACGUGAACUAGUAGUAGCUACUAACCUUAAUAAAUAAAAAAGACAAUGAUGAUGAUGUUGAAAUUUAUAUCGUUCCAAAUAACAAUCUCGGUGCGAUGCGUAAACGUUAAAUAUUAUCGCUUCGUUGUCAGCUACUCACGUUUUUAUCAUUCUAUUUAUUUUUGUUUAAAUUAUCAUUCUAGUUUGUUAAAUCGUAUUGUCUCAAUCCAAUGUCUUAUUAUACGAACCGAAUAGUGUGUGUAGUACGUUAAUGUUUUCGUGUGGGAUAUCCUCAGACUUAUGGCCUAUAUAAAAUAUAUUCAUUUUAAUAAAUUCGUUUAUGGACUUUUUUUGGUCAACUCGUUUGUAAACUAUUUAACAUUUAUAAAAAAAAUUUAAGAGUUAACUUACUGCCUUGGAUGAGUUAUAAAAGCACAUUCUUUGGUGAAGGGCUAAUUGGCAAUGGCCGCAGAUGCUUUGGACAUCUAUGUUUUGUCUAAAACAUUUUUAUCAAGCAAUCAUGUUUUAGUUUAAAAAAAUAAAACUACACCAAAAAAGUUAGAAAAAGAAAUAUAUGUUAACUCUUUUUUUUUCAAAACAGACUCAUAUUGAUUCUGUAAAUCAAAUCGAAUGUUCCACAUCUAUGUAAAUGACAAAAACGGUUGUUGUUUGGCACUGUGUACUAGACUGUCCGAUGUGUCUAGGGUACAUAAAUAAUUUCUGAAAUAUGUUAGCUCUUAAAAUCAAAGUUUCUACUGUUUUUAUUAAGUGCUUUAAAAAUAAAUCUAUAACCAAAAAAACUAAAGUCAAAACAAAACAUUCACAACCUAUUUUCUAAAGCAAAAAAUCUAAAAUUACAGCACCAACCAAUCAACCCCUAAAUAUUUUUUUUUGCUAAACAUGUAAAUAAUUCGUUGGUGAAUUACUCUUUUGAGUAUACAUAUUACUAUCUUAUAUUUAGUUUAGUUAUGUUAUAAAAAUUAUAAAACAAAAAUUAAAUUAUUUGUAAAAAUAUGUGUUUUAAAAAUAUUUUAUUGUAUUUUUUUAUAAAAAAAUCAUUUCUUUCUCUUUUUGUUAUUUUAUUUAUUUAGUUAUGAAAUACUCAUUGAAAUAAUUGUUGAGAUACCACUAAUGAAAAUACUGUACGUGGGAAAACAAUAUAUACAAAAUACAAGUUGCACAGCAUAUGAAACUACAACAGAUACACAACUAAAACAUUUAACACAUACGUAAUCUGUAAUAUUUUGCAUAUUUUGGACGUUCGACAUAUUUUAGAUGCAAAAUCUUUCCAAACAGUUUUACCUUAUUACCUUAACACUAAAGCUAAAAUUCUUUUGACAUAUAUAAAGUGUAAAGGGAAUUAAUAUGGAAAAAAUAACUGAAUGUGAGUAUGUGACUAUUACAAUCGACACAUUACUAUGUUUGUUUGACUUCGGUUAAUAUUUCUUUAAGAACCAAAUUAACAAAAUUGCAAAAACGAAAGAUAUCUCAACGACGAAUAUAGAGGAAAUAUUAAUUUGGUUUACAAAAAGACUCUUCCAAGUCUUAACGACAAAACAACACAAAAUCAAAAUCAGAACUCGGGUAUGUCCGAAAGUUCUUCAAUCCUACGACUACUAUUGAAAACCUCAAACCAAAACUCCAUAUCAUCAUUAUACAACUUCGAAUUAUUAUAACUAUAUAUUUUACUAUUGCUAUUUAGCAUUCCCUCCCAAUCAUCUAUCAUUUUCUCUUUACUAUUCUUAUUAUCUACCGAUACAACGUCAGACCAAAAACUAUCAUCAACCAAUGCAGAAAUAUCCUCGUACGACAUCAUAUCGUCCGCCUUGUUAUUAUUUGAAAUCUCUAAUGUUGUAAAUUGUUGCGUAGGAGUUGUGUCGACAAUCACAGAUUCUUUGUCUUCAUGUGCGGUCUCGUUAGUUCCGUUAAGGUUAUUGGUGACUCCGCCAUUGUUGUGGCCUUCGUUGAGUCUUUUCUUCAAAUGAGUGUGCCAAACAUUUUUAAUUUCAUUGUCGGUCCGUCCUGGCAAUUUUGCAGCAAUCGCAGACCAUCUAAAUAAUAACAAACAAACGAAACUAAACACUAUUAGGAAAAGUGUCUUACAUAUAAUAUAGUAUGGAUUUCAUCAAUUAUCACUUUAGUACUUUAAUAUUGCUUUUAAAAGCGGAAACAUGGAGAUAGAAGAAGACGACAAACCAAAAGCUAAUAUGUUUUGCAUCGAUCGAGGUGCAUAUUUUGUCUAAUAGUUAUAAUAUUGAAGGUUGUUUGGGGUUUAUUCAGUCACAUACUAUGAAAACAAAGUAACUAAAUCUUCUGAUACUGAGCAAAAAAUCACGGGUAUGAAUCUCUUCCUUAGCCCCCACAAUGUGAAAACUAAAAUAUUUUACAAAUAUUGCAAAUAACAAAAAUCGUUUAUAAGCUUAGACUAUGUUACAAUCUUAAUAAAAUUCUAGAUGAUGAAAAGCUUAGACUAAAGUCUACUUAUAGAGUAAUUUAACCAAAGAACAUUUGCAAAGUGGGAAAAGUAAAAGGAAAAUAAAAUCGUCGACCCAUAAACAUUUUUUGAUUUUGUAACCCUCUUUCAAGGAAUCGUUAACAGGUUGAUAAUUACUCUUCUGUAAGCAAACAAAGACAAACCUGUUGCCCAAUACUUCAUGUAGAUUGAUGAUAGUUUGUUCGUCUUGAGGAGUGAAAUUGCCACGUUUGAUGUCUGGUCUCAGAUAAUUGAUCCAACGAAGUCUGCAACUUUUCCCACAUCUAAGUAAACCUAAACAAAGUGUCCAAAAACACCAGAAGAGUAUUGCUUACAGAUCAAGAACACUAUUGAUAGAAAAUAAAUAUACAAAAUAAAUGAAAAUCACCUGCGUGUUUGGGAAGGGCUCGCCAGUUAGAAUGGCCAUAGAGAUUAAUAUAGUUAAUCAAGAUUUGAUCUUCUUCGGGAGUCCACGGUCCUCUCUUUACCCCCAUUUUCUCACAACAUGGUGCUCUUCCCAUUUUUUCCGUUGCUGUCUCGAGAAAAUAAAACUAAAAUUUACAAGUUUUCCUCUUCAAUCGAGUAAAAUGAUUAGAAGGCAAUGUGUUGGAUGGGUAUGGUGUUCUAUGAGAGCUAAAGAAGCCAAAUGUUAAUUUGAAGGGAAGAUGAGAUGGAGACGUCUAGAGUGAUUAUUAUAUAUAGAAAAAUUAUUAUUAUAUUGUGACAAACGACAUAUUAUUUUGAUAAUACAAUGCAACCGUGGGACAAUUCCAAGUUGAAAGUUACUCAUACUUUUGAUUCACACAGCCCCGAGUUUCCAACUAUUUAUUUUUCUUUUUCUGUUUGUAUGCAUUUAAUUACAUUUCGCAGCAGCAUGCAAAAUGUUUUUAACGUUGUAAAGAAUGUUUCUAAUUAGCAUUUUAAGCAAAAAUGAAUAACUUAUAUGAGUUUCAUAUUAUUAACUAAAAGAAAGCAUAUUGUGACGUUCUACUAUAUAUUCCCUAUGUAAUCGAUGUUAUAUUGUUCUGCUGCCAAUGCAGCCCUCAAAAUUUGCUUUUUAUGUUCAUACAAAAGAAGAAAUGAUAUUUAAGCAAAGGCACAUAAGAAAUAGCACUAGAAAAGGGUGGACAAAAUUUCCGAAACUCUAUUCGAGGUUCGUCCCGAUGUUUUUUGCGUAUCCGGAAGUUCAGCUUCAUAUUAAUACAUAUACAUCAAAUACAUCUUAAAAAUUCUGAACUAGAGUACUGCUAACCUACCAGUACUUAUAUUUAUUUUCUGAUGAUACGUUUUUUAAAAUCCUUACAGUUUAAAUACGUUCUGUAUGAUUUUAAAAAUAUUUCAUAUACAAAAAGUACAUAGACCUACUGUUUAUUGCUUAGUUAAUUAUAUUCAUGUAUGGGCUAUGAAACCUGUAUUAUUCACUACUAGCUCGGACAUAUCAUUUUUAUAUAUAAAUUUGAACGCAUAUUCUGUUCACACACGGAAAAGCUACUUUGAUGAGUCAAUUGUGAAAAAAUAACAUGACGUAAAAAGGCUUUAUGAAUAUUACUUACUAAAUAUUAACCCGCACAUAUAUUAACCCGCACAUCCGUGCGGAUAUAUUUAUAUUUUAAAAUUAACUUUUAAAAUACAAAAUAUAUUAUAAAGAUAUAUAUUUAAUAUCAAUUUUAUGUAUAUNNNNNNNNNNNNNNNNNNNNNNNNNNNNNNNNNNNNNNNNNNNNNNNNNNNNNNNNNNNNNNNNNNNNNNNNNNNNNNNNNNNNNNNNNNNNNNNNNNNNACUUUUAGCAAAAAAAAAAAAAAAAAAACUAAUGCAGGACGGCAGAAGUUUACAAUUUGUUAUUCUAUCGAACCAAUCCCAAAUCAAACGAAACGAACCAAACAAAACCAACUCCGGUUAAAACUAAAUUUAAUCAAACCAAACCGAAAUUGAAAUUGAUUUGGUCAUUAAAACUUGGCCUAAGCGCAAAAGACAAAACAGCAUUCUCUCUUUCGAUUCACGUCUCUGCGAGUGUCAUCGACCUCCUGAUCGGAUCGGAUCGCAUCGCAUCGCCGAUCUGGAGAUAUCGAUUUGAGAGUCCACAAAGGUUAGAGAUUUACAAAGAUCAUGGCAGUGGUGGAUGUUCACCGGUUCGCAGAGUCAAUCACUUGUCAUGCUUGGAGUCCUGAUCACUCCAGUAAUUUUCUUGACACAUGCUCUUGUCUUUUGUUUCUUUUGUCGGUGCCUCUUGUUCAAAGGAGGAAUCUUUGUUUAGAUCGCUUCAUAUAUAUAUAUAUAUAUUAUUAGUAGCUUAAUUUAAACAAAGAUAGCAGUCGAAGAUUGGUAGUUGAUGAGAUUUUCUAAAUAGAUGAACUCACUCACUCUCUUGUUACAAUGUCUUUUGUAACCAUUUAUGUAAAAAGUUGUUUCCUUUUAUUUUUCUUGUAGUGGUUGCGUUUUGUCCUAACAAUAAUGAAGUUCACAUCUAUAAAUCAGUACAAGACCAGUGGGAGAGGUUACAUGUCCUCGAAAAGGUGAAGCCUUUCUGAAACUAAUGAGCUAGCAUGCGCUCCUCUUUACAGCUUGAAUCUCCCUUACAAUCAGUUUUUUUGUUUUGUUUUGAAUCUGUUGCAGCAUGACCAAAUUGUUUCUGGAAUAGAUUGGAGCUCAAAGUCCAACAAAAUCGUCACUGUUUCCCAUGACAGGAACUCGUGAGUUGCCCAACCUUUUAUAUCCCUCCCUCAGAGGAAACUUUGUAUGAGAAACUGGGUUCACUGUUCUCAUUAUUCGUUAAAACUGUGUUUGAUAUUCCUCAAGGUACGUGUGGAGCCUGGAAGGAGGUGAGUGGGUACCGACUCUUGUUAUCCUUAGACUAAACCGUGCUGCACUUUGUGUCCAGUGGAGUCCAAAAGGUAAAUGUAUCAGAUCCAAAAGUUACUAGUUAUUUAGAUUCUUUGUCUAGGUAAAAUAUGUAAUCUACUUUUCCCUACAGAUCCAAAAGUUACUAGUUAUUUAGAUUCUUUGUCUAGGUAAAAUAUGUAAUCUACUUUUCCCUACAAAUGUCUGCAGCUUCUAAUCUGUUUUCCCAUUUUUUUUUUUAUUCAAUUUCCUUUAGAGAACAAGUUUGCUGUUGGAAGUGGUGCUAAAACUGUUUGCAUAUGCUAUUAUGAGCAAGAGAAUAACUGGUGAUUUUCUCUAAUAUUCUCAUUAUUAAUCGAUUUAUAUUUUUUUAAUUCGUGUUAAGUUUUGGCAUUUUGGUACCUGACAUUGCUUGGUUUUACUGUUCUCAGGUGGGUCAGUAAACUUAUCCGGAAACGGCAUGAAUCUUCAGUCACAAGUGUUGCUUGGCAUCCUAAUAAUGUGCGUGCAAUCAACACAACCUCGUGUACUUCAGUAGCUAAAAUAUUAAUUAGGCUGGCGACUGUAUCGAGUACAUACAUGGUGGCUAGAAUAGAAUAAUAAUCUCCACAGACUAGCUAAUCUUCUAACUCAUGGUCUGUUUUUGCAUUAGAUUCUUCUGGCAACGACAUCUACAGAUGGAAAAUGUCGGGUAUUUUCAACAUUCAUCAAAGGAGUAGACGUAAAGUAAGCUCAUGACUUGAACAUCUACUUGAAAACCAUUUUUGAGAAUGUAGGCCAGUUUCUUAUUUGUCUUCACUGACUGGGAUGAUACAGGGAUCCAAAAGCAGGCUCACCAGCAGAAUCUAAAUUUGGGGAGGUUUGUUUUCUUUGGCAGGCUUCCUUGUUUUUGUAAUAUACUAAUAAUGCUUAUGCCUUCUCUCCACCCUCUCAUCUAACACUGGGGAGGUUUUUUUUCGGCUGUGUCUGUUGUUGAAACAGCAAAUUCUACAGCUUGAUCUUUCAUACUCUUGGGCUUUUGGUGUGAAAUGGUCUCCAAGUGGAAACACCUUGGCUUAUGUAGGUCAGAAUAUCCUUAACACUUAGCCCAUUGCAAUCUACUGAAAUCAUACAAUGGAACUUAUCUUGGUUACAUAAUUGUUGUCUGUAUGUGUGAUCUUGUAUAGGUCAUAGCUCAAUGAUUUACUUUGUUGAUGACGUCGGUCCUUCUCCUUUAGCUCAAAGCGUUGCGUUUAGAGAUUUGCCUCUUCGUGAUGUGGGUCAGCAUCCACCUUUCUUUUAUAUUUUGAGAACCUGGUCUUCUCCUUGUGUUGUGUCCUGAACUGAUAUAUAUUGUAUGGAACUUUCUAUCUCAGGUCCUCUUUAUUUCGGAGAAAAUGGUGAUAGGCGUUGGUUAUGACACCAACCCAAUGGUGUUUGCUGCAGAUGAUACUGGCAUAUGGUGUGUAACUCUCAGAAUCCUCUUAUUAUAAGCUUAGAUCACGGGCCAGAUAACUACUUCUGAAAUGAUCCACUCACCGAUGAUUGCUUUGUUAUGAGCUUUUGGUUUUGGUCUGUAGGAGUUUUGUCAGAUACAUCGGAGAGAAGAAAGCGGUAUCCUCAGGUUCCAGUUAUAGUUCGCAGGUACAUACCAAAGUUCUAUUUCUUGCAAUAUGUCUGUGUUUUUAGCCUUACAGUAUAUAAUCUGAGUGAAGCUUUUAGCUUAUUCCUUAAUUUUCGUUAUGUUAUUAUGUUUACAGUUUUCGGAAGCAUUUACGAAGUUCUACGGUCAGUCAAAGGCUACAACAGCCAACGACGGUUCUGAAUCCUCUAAAUCACGUGGGGGCGUUCAUGAUAACUGCAUUAAGUAAGAAAAAAAAUGUGUCUUAAGCUAAUUUUGCUUUUACAAAAUCACUUUCAAGACACAGUCUGUCUCUUUUACUCUAUAGAGAUAUUGACCUGUAAAAUUACCUGAAACUUGCAGUUCCGUUGUUCCUCUUAGCAAAGCUGGGAGUCCUAAAGUAAUGCGAUUCAGCACUUCAGGUCAGUCACUAGUUCAGAAUUAACAUAUUCCUUCAUGGAAUCAUCCUAAUCAUUUGCUUGUAUAUUGGGUUUGUUAUAGGAUUGGAUGGCAAAAUAGCCAUAUGGGAUCUAGAGAACAUGCAAGAAGAGCUUGGCCAUCAGUUUUAAUAAACACAGAAAUAAAACAAAUCUGGAUCACAAGGUUUUUCUUAAUCUGUAUAUCAGAUUUCUUUUUUUCGUUCCCUGCCUUUUGUAACCCUUUUUCAGUUUCGUAAUUGUGUCACUUUGUAAACUACAAUAAGCCUUGCAGAGCUAUGUCCUUUGCCUCCGGAUCUUUGUUAUAUCUUCUUGAAUGCUACAUGAUUGAUCCAUUUUUAGUUUUAUAUAGCAUCUUAUAACGCCUUUUUCUGUUUAACUUGGCAUUACAUCUGCUGAUGGAUGACAGAUAACCAUUAUCCUUUGAUUUUUUCUCACUGAUUGCGAAAUUAACUACUGUCCUAAGCAUCUUCUAGAAGCAGAUAUACAGCUUGAAGAACAAUCGAUUAUGACUUGUCCACAACGUCGGUGCGUUGCAAUAUCAUAGUAAGUUGGUCAGGAGUUGGAAAACUUGACCACCGGUGUGUGCCUUUAAGAAACAGAUGUUGGCUACAUGUUCGAUGACCAUAGUAUACAUCGUGAAAUCGAAACUGGAAGCACUAAAUGGAACUACUAGUAUCCAUUAUCAUGGUGGUUUAACAAAUCUCUAAGGCAAGAACAGCAUCAAACGUCCUCCUUUCAUCCCAAGCUUUUCUGCGCAAGAGAAUAUCUGAUGCUGCAAGAGUUUCGACUUUUUCCUUUCCUUCUGGAACAGAAGAUUCUGACAAUGACUCACCUUGUGCAACUGAUCCAUUUAGUUUCAACCUCCUCUUAUCUUCAUUCACAGCUUCAAUGGGUUGCUAAGGAGAAAAAGAAAGAAAGAACGAACUUUGAUCAGAACAUAAGCUAUCAAUGUGACUAUUAACAAAGUGGUGAGAAGGAGUGGCAAACACUUGCCUUGUUCUGGUUCUCACUACAAGAAUCUUGAUACUUAGAAUGCAUACAACGAACAGAAACAGCUCUCUGUGCCUUCAAUCUCACAGAUGGAACCCGAUUCAAUGGUCCAAAAGAGCUUCUCGACCAAAUCUGAGGAUGAACCACAAACCCCUGAAGCCAUCAUGUCACUCGUGCUCCAGUCUUCCUCCUGUUGAUCAGGCGAAUGACGAAACCGAUAUGGAUUUUGCUCAGUUUUGUUCUGUUUCUCCUUUACCGCCGCUACAUUCUUCGUCAUCUGCCUCGCCUGUUCCUCUGGUUUAGUCGGUUUCCUAACAAGAGGCGUAUCUAAAGUCAAGGCUUUAGCUGCUGGCAAGAACCUUCCCAUCAUUAGAUCAUGUGUACUAGAACUCUUUGCAUCUGCCACAUGAUUAGCUCUAGUUUCAGAUUUCCUCAUUGCUUAUGCGUGCUCACAUGUCAUGAGUCCAUCCUCACGAACUAAACCAACUGAAGAUAUGUACACUAACUAGGAUUUAAUCCUAUAAUUAUUGAUGUUUUAUACACAAUUAUAUAAUUAUUUUUCGUUGAAUUUAUUGAUAUUUUGUUUUUAAGUUUUCUCUAUUUGUUUUAAAUAGAGGCGAGCAAAAUUUAUGUCGCAUCUUAUCUAGUCCUACUGAGAUAUAUUCUUGAUUUAUGGUUCAUGUAGUAAUACUUUUUUCGUAUGCUAUUUCAUGGUCUCACUUUAGAAUAAAUUGGAACGGGAUCUAAACAGAAUUUCAUGUGGGAUAAAAUUCAUGUACAGUAUAAUUUUUUGAUCUAUUUUUGAUUCUUCUUUGAUAAUAGAAGAUGACGAAAUGAAAAUGGGAAUUCCAAAAUCAGAUUUAUAUACUCUUGGAAAACCAAAGUGUUUAAAAAAAAUUUGAAAGAGGUAUAACAUUCUUUAACUGUACUAGCCAUGUACAUGUCAUCAUACAAUCUCUAUGUCAAUUCAUUUUUUCUAGUUUUUGCCAUUUCCAAGGCUAUUGGGAUCUACCACAUUAACACACGAGGCUCAAUAAUUAAAACUACAAACAUAACCCAAUAAGUUAAAAAUAGAAAAAUAUUCAUCUUAUCGGCUAUUAAAUCAAAGCUAAUUCUUUAUAUUAUGUUGCUUCUAGUUCUUUCCAAUAUGGCAUCAUCAUGAGUUCAUUUUCCCCUGCAUAUUUAGAUCACCAACAUUUCAUCUCCUUCUAGUAAUUAUUGUGUUCCACAUCUGCUUCUUCACAUUUUUUGUGGGCAUACAGUUCAUCAAUUGGAACUAAACAAUCAUUAGAUACAUUUGAUAAGAACUUGAAUCUUAUCUUCAACAUUUAAGCGUUUUCACCUAAAAUGGAAUAAGCUUCGUUUUAGACACUUGACUCCACUAUACUAAAAAAAACUCAAUAAGAAUAAAAUCGAGUACAAACCUCUCCAAGACGUAUAAAAAUCCAAUAAAACCACCGACCAAACUUAAUAGUACGACAUAUCAUGGUUAAUGUGGUAUUAUGAUAAGGUUUGGAGAUGCUAUAUAUCAAGAAGCUUAAAGGUAAGAGUAGUGGUGUUGAGUCUUACCAAUGGAAUGACAUGGAUGACGCAGAAUGAUGAAGGCACAUGAAGUUUUGUUGAAACAAAGUAAAGAGACUGGCUAAGAAGUUGACUGAAAACACGGAAAACAUUUGUAGAAGAUAACAAAGUACAUUGACUUAAAACAAAAGUAAGAUGUUUUAGAUUUUUUACUUAUUCCACAAAAAUAGAUUUUCUAUAUGUUAAAGGUACUUUUUUAUAUUUUUAAGAAACAUUAAAUGAAAAUAUUUGAAUUGAUUAAAUUUCAUUGGUGAAAAGUUAUUGGAAAAUGUAUAAUAAAAUAAAAUAAAAAUUAAAUUAUAAACAUUUAUUGAAUUCUUAAUAAGCGUGAAUACUUUAAAAAAUCUUACUUUCGGAGUAUAAUGUAGAAUCCUUGAUGGUGAGAUGCUCCAAACGCUUUGGAUUGAUCGAAAGAUGGCACACAUCAUCCUUUGGAUUCUUUCUAAGCAAUUAUGAUCGUAGCGUGAACAAGAUACAUAUAAUCAUGUAAUCGAUUUGCAAAACACAAAACUCUUUUAGACUAAAUAAAUUCAAAAUAGCUAGUGGUAUCUGCAAAGACAUGAUAUAACUGGUCCUCUUUUAAACAUUUCUAUAUAGAUUCAAGAAAGAGCGCCUCUCGACAAAAUUAUUUUUUUCGCAGGUGGGACAACUGAAGGGGCAGCAGCAUACAAAGUCAGUUGUAACAUUAUAUCAUAACAACCAUCUUCAAAACUGGUUUCAAUUUUAACAGUAUAAAUGAAAUUACAGUAAAAUAAGCAACUGUUUGGACAACAAAAUAAGUAGAAUCUAAGAUUGGUAGGAGCAUCAAUAAAUUUUUGCCUAUUCACUUGUAAAAUUUUAAGCUAUUUUACGAAAGGAUGAAGCUCAAAACCAGAAGCCACCAUCUUCCGGGCGAAUGAUGAAACCGAUAUGGAUUUUGCUCAGUUUUGUCCUUUACCACCACUACCUUCUUUGUCGCCUCCCCAGUUCCUCUGGUUUAGGUGGUUUCCUAGCAAGAAGUGUUUCUGAAGUCAAGGCAUUAGCUGCUGGCAAGAAUCUCCCUAUCAUCAGAUCCUGAGUUUGUCUAUCUCUUGUUAAGGUACCAAACGGCUCUACUAGUACCCCAUGACCACUGACCUUACUACAGUUGAAGAAGAAAGACUAAGAUCUUGAAAGCAUCUCAGCUGCAUCACAAUAAGUAUCAUCACUAUCAUCAUCAUCAUACCGAGUACUAUAGCUCUUUGCAUCCUCCACAUGAUUAGCUCUAGCUUCAGUUUCUCUACAAACUCUCCCAGGAGGAAGCUUUGGCUCAAUAUGUAUAGCUCAACAAAAGCUUGAACAUCCUGUUUCCUUUCGUCUUUAGGCUUUCCUAGUUUAUGUUCCCAUUGCAAAGGGGCAGUUCCUGGAUUCCUAACAGGACCUGACUUAAUAUCAGAUUUGGAAACCGGUGGAGAAGGAGGAGGGAUCUUGUUGGUUACUGAAUCAGAGGAUCUUCUUUUGAUCUUGGAUUCAGAAGCUUGUAUAGGCCUCUUCUAAUAGAUAGAAAAAGGCGAUUGAAUCAUUACAAAGACUUGCAGUAACUUGAAACUUCAUGUAAGUUUGCAGCAACCUCUUAAUCUAGAAGUUUCUUGUCAAGUAUCUAAGCCAUGAUUAAUAUAAAUUGUCAGAGAAGCAUCGAUUCUGCAACCCAAAAUCGUCAAGAAUAGAAGCUCAGUAAUGCAAAAUAUUUUAAGUACUAUUAUAUUUUGAGGUUGUUUUCUAUCGAUCGAGCACUGUUUUUAUAUCGGCUUUACAAGCUCCGAGAUAAACAAACUGCGACUGGUUAGAGACACCAGUUUACCAAGAUAUUUGAAAGUUAAAGUACAACGACUUGAAGAAAUGGAUCAAGAUAAAAUGGAUAAGAUGAAACGGACUAAGGGAUACUACUUGGUCUAAAACCAAAAAUAAAACAUAUAAAAGGAAACAAAAGAGUUCUCUUCUUCUUUAUCCCUCAAAACUUCACCAAGAGGUCUGUCUAAUCAAAUUAACAAUAAAAAAACAACAUUAGACAAUUUAGAGUUCAUCGUGAGACUCAUCCUCCUCCUCGGUCGCUCCUUCUCCACCCGCACCACCUGGUGCACCACCUGACCUCU
rnacentral:lncRNA from 1 species